CUCAACUUCCUUAUAGCCAAUAUCAUGGCUAGGCACGUCUUUUCUACGAGGUUGUACUUCGACUAGUAAGGCAACAGUUUCUUACUAAGGUAAUAGACCGCAUGCUCUACAUCAUUAGACCGGCACUGCGCUACCAUUGCCCCCAUAGCUUCCUCCUCCAAGGCCAAGUAAAGGAUCAGCAGUUUCCCAUCCUUUGGUGGCUCGAGUAUUGUUGGCUUUAUCAAAUACUCCUAGAUUUUCUCAAGGUCUUCUGAUAGUUUUCAUCCUAUAUAACGGGUUGAUGUUUCCCUAAAAGUUUGAAGAUAGGAUCACAGACCAUCAUAAGCUUCAAAAUGAACCUAUUGCUGUAUUGCAAACGUACUAGGAAACCUCUAACUUCUUUCUCCAUCUUCGGUGCUGGCAUCUCUUGAAUGGCUUUGACAUUAUCCGAGUCGAUCUCUAUACCUCGCUGACUCACUAUAUGCCCUAACAACUUUCUUAAUGUAACUCCAAACAUGCUUUUCUUUGAGUUGAGUCUUAGGUUAUACCUUUCCACUUAUCCUAAAAACUUAUCAAGAGCCUAAAAGUGUCUUUCCCUUGUUUCAGAAUUUACCAUCAUGUCAUCAACAUACACCUCCACCUCCUUGUGCAUCAUUUCAUGAAACAAGGUAGUGGCUACUCUUUGAUAAGUUGCCCCUGCGUUCUUUAGUCUAAAAGGUAUAACCUUGUAGCAGUAUGUCCUCCACUCGGUGAUAAAAGACGUCUUCAGCUUGUCCACUACUGCCAUUAUGAUAUAAUUGUAUCCGGAGAACCCAUUUGUAAAGGAAUACAUCGCAUUCGAAGCAGCACUGUCGACUAUCAUAUAUAUGUAGGGUAGAGGAAAGUCAUCCUUCAGGCAUGCCUUAUUCAGGUACCAGUAAUCCACACACAUUUGAACCUUACCAUCCUUCUUCAGGACUGGAACAAUGUUGGCCAACCAUUCAGGAUAGUCAACUACAUCGAGAAAAUUGGCCUAACCUGCUUAGCUACCUCCUCUCGUAUCUUCUCUGCCUAUUCUAGCCUUAGUCUUCUAAUCUUCUGCUUGACCGGCUUGAUGUGUGGAUGAGUUGGGAUAUGGUGCUCUGUUAUUUUCCUGUCUAGACUUGGCAUGUUGUCAUAGGACCAAGCAAAAACCGCUUUUCUUUUUUUAAUUAUUUUCUCAAAUUAUCUCCUCUCCUUAGGAGUUAUAUCGAGAGCUAUCAAAAUAUUCCAUGGAUUUACAUCUGUGCCUAAAUUAAAUGAAUCAAUUUGUAUGGAAUUGAUGUCAAACAUGCACAUGUUAUGAUUAUUAAAAUGCACACUACCAUUAGGAAAAAAUCACAUAAGUAAGCAAAAUCAUUCAUAUCAUUGAUCUUUAAGUGAAAAGAAAUAUCAUCCUCUUAAAUGUCGGAAGUUAUUACAUCGUCAUGAUAUUAUUUUCAAUAAGAGCAGCUAGCUCCUCUUGGUUUUUCCUUUUCGGCUGAGCAGUAGGCUCUUCUAGCUUCAACUCUUUUAUCUUGGUGGUGACCUUCUCUCGGACUUCCUUAAUACUGAGCUCGACCAUCCUAUCGAUAAUUUGGUUCUUGAAAAUCUCGAAUCCUGGUACCUCAGUCCCAACUACACUAUCAGGUUUGUGCUCCCUAGAUUAAGGCUUGUACUCUUAGACGAACACGUCUUUUAGAGUCUUGCCCUUUGGUUUGCUCUCAUCUUCUUCUUCAGAAUAUGCCAAACCUCGCCGAGUCUUCUGACCUUUAAAGUCUGGCAGUUGCGCAACACCUUUCUGAUUCUUCCCCAACCCUAUUCCAAGCAUGAAGUUCAUUCUCUUGAACAUGCUAGCUACUUUAGGAUCCAUAUAGUCCUUGUAGAGGACCGCCGCUUAGAAUCCAAUAUGGGCAUCCACCUCUUUCACAGCUUCUUGGAUUGCUGAGACAACCUUACCACCUUUGGUGUUAAUGGUGACAAUCUCGCCUUUAUGAGGGAAUUUCACCUUCUAAUGUACUGUAGAAGGGACUCCUCUUAGGGCAUGGAACCACGGCCUUCCCAAUAACAGUGCAAAAGUUACUGGGAUAUCCAGGAUAGUGAACUCUACCCAGGAUUCAAUAGGACCCGUCUUCACCAAUGCUGAAAACAUCCUUUCUACAUCUCUUUUAGUCUCGUCAUAAGUCCUUAUGACCAUGUUUGAUGGUUUUAGGUCCUAAACAAUCAUUCCAGUUUAGGAAGUAUGCGAGAAGGACACACAUUGAUAACUGACCCAUCAUCAACCAUCACACAUGGGUUCUCUUCCAUUUCACUUUUACUGCUAUGUAGAGGGCCUUACUAUGGUCUCUUUCCUCAAAUGGUAAGUCUUUAUUCGAGAAGGUGAUCAUCCCGGUAGUCUUAUCAGUUACCAUUUUGAUCAUCUCCUCAAGGGUAGUUGCUGUGCUGAUGCUUAUAUUAGAUAAGGCUUGGAUCAGAACUUUUUUGUGGUUCGAUGAAUGCAUCAGUAGUUCCCAAACAUCAGCUAUCUUCUUCUUCUUCCUUCACCAUUCUAGCAACACGGCAUCCCUGUCUUCAGGUGCUUGCUUCUCUUGCUUCAGCUCUUGUACCUCGACUUCCUUACCCUUUCCCGCUAGCUCAGUCUCAGAAUCACUGUCUGCUUAGAUGUCCUUAGCCUCGGCGUCUUGAAUCUCACUAUCAUCCCCGAAACUAUACCAGAUGUCGAUAACUAUGACUGACUUCGUUUCCUCUUCUUUCCAGACCUCUAGGAGACAAGGCUCACAAAUAGCUUGAUCGUCAUUUGAUCCUCAACCAUUUGGUACAAUGUGCUCAAUUUGAAUAUCAGCUGAGGGUGGCCUCGAAUAUCGGACCUUGAAAUCAUAUUUGCCCUAAGGCUGCCCAAGCAAGUCUUCACACUUAGACUAAGAAAGUUGCUCAACCUCCCAUUCUCUAUAGUCGAUUAAGUCCUGAAUCUCAUGCCUGAGACAGUUGCACUGGUCCGUCAUAUGCUCGAAAGCCUAGUGAUACUCACAAUACUGACCAUUAUGAGGCUUAGGAUUAUCUUUCGGUGAUUAGGACUUAAGCUUUCUGCUCCAUUUUAAGUAUUAAAACACCACAGAUAGUGGUGCCCCCGGCUUGAUGAAGGUUCUUUGUGGGCUAUCUGGUUUGGGCUUUGGCUCGGUUUAAGAUAAGUCUACGAAAGAGUUCAUGAUCUCCUCUUUGAUGAAAUCAGGUUGAUUAUAGACACUUGGUUCGUGGGUGGUGUGUUAUUGUAGUUUGGUAAGGGGUUUCUUUUGUGCUAGGUUGAUCUGGGUCAGUGAGAUUUUUAGCAUCGAUAAGGUCCUAGAUUUCAUGUUUUAGCCGGAUGCAAUUAUCAGUGUGGUCGCUAAGUGCUUGAUGGAAUUUGCAGUAGGUGUUGGGCUUAUAUCCGAGUGCAUUAGGGUUCGGUUGGUUCUUUAAGGUGGCAGGUUGGAGCGUGGUCAAUCUCUCAAAAUCUUAGAGAGAGGUUGCCUGAUGUUGCAAAACUUCCUCGGUUGUUGCACAAAAUUCACAUCUAGGGUCAUGCUCCCUCCAACCUGGUAGUUUGUCCUUCCACCAGUUAUCACGGUCUUUCGUUUAUCAUUCUCUAUUUCCUCGACCUGCAGUCCGUCAUCAUAUAGUUCCAUGAAGGUUUUAGGGUUCAUCAUCCAUAACCUUUCAACCUAUCCAGGAAGGACAUUUCUGACCACCAUACAAACUUGGUCCUUUUAGAGGGCUUAUUUUCAUUAGUCUAGCCUUAUUCCUCCAUCGAGUCAAGAAAUUAGAGAAGGACUCAUUUGGCUUCUGCUUGGUGAAUUGAAGAUCCCUGAUUUGACAUCUUCAAAUAGGUGUUGUAGUCAUACUGCUUGAUAAAAAAAUUGCAUAAAUUGCACUAUUGAACUUUCGAGUCACUAGUCCCAUUUAACUUGUUCAUCUUGGGCAUUCUAAACUUUACAGGCAACUUGUCUUUCCCUGUUAAAACCAACUCUUCGAAAUCAUAGGUUGGGUCCAAGCCUUUGAUUUCCAGUAUACCCUGCGUUUUGUCAAGCCGGGCACUCAGUCCACUCACAGCCUCAUUAGUGGCAAUGGCAGUCUUCCUCUUAGCUUGGCGGGACACUCCCUUUCUAGCCGGGUCUUAAGCAUUGGCCAUGGUAGUAGUGGUAGCAGCAGCUUCAGCGGUAAUUACAAUCGGGUCAAUAGCAAUAGGGGGAUUAGUCGGUGCAAGAAGAGCAACAGGUGGGGCUUGGUUUGCAGCCAUUCCGGCCAAGAGUUAUUGGAGCUCUUCUUGAAUCACACCCCACAAGUCUUCGAUUAUAACAUUUUUAAGGAUCUCGACGUCUUGUUCAUUAGCUCUUUGGUUGGCCAUUUCUUCAGUAGCUUGGCACCUUAGUCUUUCUAGGUGCUCUAACACAGUUCUAAUCCUUAGGGAAAUGGGCACUCUUCAAUUUUUCAUUGUCUUGCCUCUUCCAACCCAUGGGAGAGUCUAUAUGGCUAAAAGGAGAAAGGUUAGUAUGAUGCAUGCAAUAUAUGGGAUGCAUGAUGCACAUACCUCUUGCUUGCUUGACUGAUGUUGGUGGCUUUCCGCUUUUAAGGUUAGCACACGCACAGUAAUAUACAAUUCAUCAUUCCAACCUUAUUACUCCCACACAGGGUUCAUGGUAAGUCUUUUUUUCCUAUGAUUUUUGGUUUGGAUUUUCUAUUAAUAAGGGAUAGUAGGCCCAACGCUCAUGAAUAAGCUCUUAAAGCUGACUAAAGCAAACAAGGUGAUAUUUCUCAGUGUAAGCAUAAAAGCCUACAUAUUUUGGGCCUAGAGCCUGGUUCUACAGUUCUGGGCCAAGGCCUUUCAAUACUCGGGCUUAAAAUACUUACAGGGCAAAAACAUCUCAUAUAGCAAGCAAUAGGGUACCUAAGGGAGAUUACUACGGUCACUACCAUGGGCUGAGUCUUAGGUAAGGAUAAAAGACUCCCACAAGCAAAAAGUUUUCUUCCUUGGCUCGUCUCCCCACUCAAUUGUCCAUGAGACGAAGGAAAUACACUCAUUAAUUGUGAGUGAUGGUAGCCAAUGUCGCAAUUCUAGGAUUCGAGUGGAAUCAAAGAACCACUAGCCAACACUAUCGGGGCUAUGGGGACCAAUGUGUACAGUGUGUGAAAGUGUAGUGAUGCAAGAAUAAUAUGUUAAAUAAUAAAAUUUGUUGACAGUUGUUCCCAUAUUUUUUAGGCCUUAAUUUUAGGAGUUAAUUAGUAUUGACUCUCGAUUGUAGGAGUGAAUCGUGCAUAUUACUGUAAAUUAGGCAGUAGUGCUUUUUUAUUUUUAGAGAUGUGUGAACCCUAUGAAUAAAGGUUAAUGGGUGUAGAAAAAAAUAAUAGAAACCAUUAAAUUUCUUCUUGUUCUAAAAAUUUCAUGGUAUUAGAGCUAGAUCCCUUUACAGUGACUCUCUCAUAUUGUUAACCCUAGUAUCAGCCUCUCUGCAUAUUUUAACCAAAUCAAAUUUUUAUUCCAGCAGUAUAUUAAACAUGUCUGACGGAAAGAAGGAAGGAUCUUCUAAUCCUACUAAGCAUGGUAGUAGAAACAUGAUAACCACUAUGAAUGACAACCCUUCUCUCCAAAUCAGUCCAGUCAAACUAGAUGGAAUGAUUUAUCUUGCUUGGUCGUGAUCAUGCUUGCUAUUUAUUCAGGCUAGGGGAUUGCAAAGUUAUAUCAAUAAUGAAAAAAGAAGACCUAUGGAACAGAUCCUAUAUGCAAUAAAUGGGACUCAGAAAACUCUCUCAUCAUGUCAUGGUUGCUCAAUUCAAUGCAACCACAGAUUGCUCGAGGCUAUUUACUCCUUGAUAUAGCUCAAAAAAUUUGGGAUGCAACUGCCCAAACUUAUUCCAAGUCAGAUAAUGAUGCCCAGGUAUAUGAAUUGCGAAAAAAAUUUCAUGAAACAAAAUAAGGUGAGCUGACUAUUGCCCAGUAUCUUUCUGAACCUAAUGGCUUGUGGCAAGAACUUGACUAUUAUCAGGAUUUACAAGCAUCUUAUAAAGCUGAUGCAAUAAAGUUCCAUAAAAUAAAGGAAAAGGAAGAUGUGUAUGACUUCCUAGUAGGAGUAAAUGAUGUGUAUGAUCAGAUCUGAUUUCAAGUACUUGGACGUGACUCUUUUCCCUCCUUGCGAUAAGCAUAUAGCCAUGUGCAGUAAGAAGAGAGCCAACAUAAUGCUAUGCUGCCAACUAUUUCAACUGAAAGAUCAAUUAUGAUGGUUGAAUCAUCAUCCAUAAAACCUUAUUCAAUUAGAAUUAACUCUUUGAAGGAAUUAGAACAAGACAGUAGAAGGUGCGACUAUUAUGGCAAACCAAGGCAUACUAGAGAAACAUGCUGGAAACUUCAUGGUCACCCACCACGUGGUCGAGUGGGAAAAAAAUCUGAUAGUGCACGGCCUUAAGCUCAUGUCUCCAAAACUCUUAACAUUGAAUUGCCAAGAGAGAUCAACACUUCUGGUGGACUUUCCAAUAAAGAAUUGAAAACUCUUAAACUUCUUAUAGCUAAGUUUGAAUCCCGUUCCACUGAAGCUACUGCUUCCACUCCUUCAUCUUACCUUGCACAUUCAGGUACUACCACAUCUAGCCUUACAUACUAGGCAUACUAAUACCUGCGAUACUCCUAGUGAAUCAUGGAUUUUAGAUUUUGGAGCAUCUGAUUAUAUGAUCAAUUCUCGAAAAAGAAAUUUCACUUACAAUUCUUGUUGAGGUCAUGAAAGAGUCAUUAUUGCGGAUGGGUCCUUGUCUCCAUCAUCGGGAAAGGUUCUAUAAGUUGUACUUCAUCUAUUAACCUACCACUUGCCUUGCAUAUUCCUGGUUUCUCAUAUAAUUUGUUAUCUGUUAGUGCUCUUACAAGAGAUUUAAACUGUAAGAUUGAUUUUUUUCCUUCUUAUUGUGUCAUAUAGGAAUUGAGCAUCGGGAAAACGAUUGGCUAUGGUAGAGUACAUAAUGGCUUGUAUCAGUUAUAUGAAGAACCAAUUUCUAAGGCUUUACUAGGUGAAUUCUGAAUCAGCUCCUCAUCAAAUUAUUCAAUGGCAUAGGCGUUAAGGACACCCUUUAUUUUCUGUUUUAGAAAGGUGUUAUCCUCAUUUACUUAAGCAAUGUGAUCUAAAGACCUUAGUUUGUGAUGCAUGUGAAUUUGCUAAGCAUACUAGAACUUCAUAUUCUUCAAUUAAUAAUAAAAGUUUAGUGCCUUUUGAGAUGAUUCAUUCAGAUGUGUGGGGCCCCAACCCAGUAAUUUCUUUAUUUGGGUAUAAAUGGUUUGUGAUAUUUAUUAUUUGCCAUAGUAGGAUGACAUGGGUGUAUUUGAUGCGUGCCGAAAAAAAUGAAGUUUUUUCUUGCUUUCAGUCUUUCCAUAAAAUGAUCAGUACACAAAUUAGUGCUAAGGUAAAAAUUUUCCGAACUGAUAAUGGUACAGAGUGUAAUACCCGGAAUUUUUAUUUAAUAAAGAUAAUAUUAAUAAUGAUUAAUAAAUGAGUUUUUAUUUAAAAUUUAUUUUAUUUUAUUUUUAUUUGGUUUAAAUUGGAAUGAAUUAAGUGGAAUUUUAAUGUUAGACAAUUAAAUGAGUUAUUUUUCUAUACUCAAUUAGUUGGAUCUUUAAGAAAUUAAUUAAGUAAAUUAUUUGAAAAAUAAAUUAUAUUUUGGUUAUUCAAAUUUUUCCCAAAUGUAUAUAUAAUAUAUAUAAAUAAAAUUAUAUAUUAGAAAAUUAUGGAAGAAUUUGUAAAGGAUGUUUUUAUAAAAGAAUUUUUGAGGAAAUUGGUAUUUUAAUUAGCUAGUGGUAUUAAAUUUUAAGUUGAAAAAUAGUUAGCAAAUUGAUUAAUUAAAUUAAUUGUGUGUUAGAACUAAAUUGGAAAUUUAUUUUGGCAUGACGAUUAAAAGUAUAAUUUUAUUAUUAUGGGGUUUAAUGAAAAUUUGUAUGUUUGGUAUUUUUAUGAAUAAAUAUGCUGACAAGGGCUUUUUGGUAAUUUUACAUUUAAAAGCAAGGGUAUAUAUGUAAUUGUGUAUUUUCAAUAAUUCUAAUUUGGCCAAAAUUAAAUAGUUAGGGGCUUAAUUGAAAAGAAAAGUUUAGGGGUUAAUUGGAAUUUUUGCAGGAUGAAAUUGAUAGUAAUUAAAAAGUUGAGGGACCAAAUGGUAAGGAAGAAAAUUUCAGGGACCUAAUGUCGAUAUUGGAAGGAAAGAAAGAAAGAAAAGAAGAAUCGGAGAGAGAGAGAAGACCGGGGAAGAAGGAGGAAGGCGUGCUUCCAUGGCCAAUCGCCGGUGUGCGGCACGUUGGCCGACGAAGCAGCUGGCUUCGGCGAGCGCAGCGGCACCAGCGGCGGUGCCAGGCAGCGAGAAUCGCGCGAAGGGGCAGCGCCGUUCAGACACUAUUCCGGCCGUUUCCGGCGGCCUUGUCGGCUGAUUCUGGUGGCGAUCGACUCCCCUUGGUGAGAGCUUUCUUUUGGCGGCAGCGGCGACACCAAUGGUGACCGGAGACGGAAGAUCCAGUGUAGAGAGAAAGUAGGGGGCAGCGGUGUUUUUCUACUUUUCGGGCGAGCUCCGGCGGGGGAUGGAUGAUCGGAGGACAUAUCCCGACUCUCCUCAGCUUAAGCUUCACAAUGGCAUCGGUUUUCUGGCGAUCAGACUCCAUUUGCAAAUCAACGGCCGAGAUCGUCUGCAAAUCUCUCCGGAUGAUCGAGGGUCAGAUCGAAAAAUCGGAAGCGGUGAUCAUCAUCAGUGCGUCGUUUUCGAGUCUGAUGGUGUAUUAGGAUCGUCGAUCGGACUCUGGCGGCUAGAGGGGAGUCGACCGAGCGAUCAAGCGUCUCGGUAAUUUUUUUCUCUAGCCCGUUGAUUUUGGAAAUUCUUUGGUAUAAUUAUGUGUUUAUUGAAUUGUGUUGUGUAUUAGUAAAUAUUUAUGAGUUAAAAUAAUUGUUUGUCGGGCUGCCUGCCAUAGUCGUGAAUUGUGCUGUGUGGGGGAGUUGGGAAAAAUAGUAAAGUCUGGGAACCCGACUCCCGUUGUAUUGAAUUGUUGAAUAUUUGAAGUGUUUUUCUGGCAGGUCCUGGACCCGUUUUAUGGGGGGUAAAUGCUCGUGUUGUAGGGGAGGUUCUACCGAAGUUUCGGUAGAAUUUACCCGAGUCAUGAUUCUUGGACAGUCAGUCCUAGGAAUCUAGACCUAGGGUUAAUUGUCUUUUGUUUCAGUGUUAUUGAUAAAUUAUUUUCCAUGAUUAGAUAAUCCGUCUAUUCGGCUCGCUCCAACCGAGGCACCGGAGCAGAGCUAGGAGGUCUCCAGAGCUGUGAGUUAAAGUCAUAUAUCGGUUAUGCACGUGUCAUGCAUAAAUUUUUUAUUAGCUAUUGUGAUUAUUUUAUUGCAAGUUUAAUUAUUCAUUUAAUUAUUAUUCAUGUGUAUGAUGCUUUUUUUAAUUACUAUUCAUGUAUGUUCUUCCUUUAUCAUUAAUUUUAUCAUUGCAUGAUGACACGGGAUGGGAUGACAGUAGAACAUAAUAGUGAUGAGUGUACCGGUGUAAAUCCGAGAGUGAUGGAAAAAGGGUAAAUGGGUAAAUUUAAAAAGGAAAGUUUAGGACUUGCCCUGGUCGACCAUUGCUCUCUAGGCACCGGCUUAUUUGGAAACCUAAGUGACCAGACUGGAGGUAAGGUCCCUGGUCGAGCUUCGCUCUUUGGGCACCAGUCUUAUUGGAAUAAGAGAGCCGAAAGGCUAAGGCUGAUAGUGAACAUUAAGUGACCGGACUGGAGUUAAGGACCCUGUUAGAGCUUCGCUCUCUAGGCGCCAGUUCUGUUGGAAUGAGAUUAGUCGAGGUGUUAGAGUUGAGAUUAGUCGAGAUGUUAGAGUUGAGAUUAGUCGAGAUGUCAGUGUUGAGAUUGACCGAGUUGUUAGUGUUGGGAUUAGGGUUCUAUUGAAGUACUUCGUCCCGUAGUGUGUAAGAAAUUAUUUUAUUUUAUUUAAGCAUAAUAUGACACGUUUAUUUUUCCAUGACUUAGUAUUUAUUUCAAAUUAAAUAAUUGUAUCAUUGAAGUGUUUGCAACUGUUUUUAGAUUUAUGAUUUUAACUCACUCUUGAGACUGACAAUCUCAAUUUUACUGUUUUUCAGAUCCGUGACUGUUAGUCUUCCCGCGAUUCUUAUAUAGUAACCCGACUCCUUCAUCAUCAGGUGAUGUAAUUUAUUUGAUAUGUUAACUUGUAAAAUCUUAGAUUCUCCGCAGUAGAAUUAAUAGACUUAUCUGUUGUAAUUCUUUGUAGUUUCGGGUCUCGCCUAAUUCUUCUGGCAGACCGAAUUAAUUGUGUAAAAUUUAAUGGUUACGAUAAAUUGUGGCAUCAAUAAUAUUAAAUGAGAUGAGAUUUAUUUAAGUCAGUGAGUGUCAGGCUUACUACGGGAUUCGGUGGCCUUACGCCUACCCAUUCCCUAGUGCUGAUCACGGGCCCACAGAUGGGGUCGUGACACAAAGUAUAUGGAGAAAACCUUCCAUAGAAAUUUAGACACUCGUGGGAUUAUUCACCAAAAUAGUUGUGUUAAUACUGCUGCUCAAAGUAGAGUAUCUGAACGAAAGAACAGUUCCUAAGGCUUAUUGGGGUGAUGCAGUUCUUACAACUGCUUAUUUAAUCAAUAAUAUGCUAUUAAGAACCUUGAAUUUUAGGUGUCCUAUAGAACUUAUCCGGGGCAAUAACUCUCACAUUAUUUCUCCAAAGGUUUUUUGAUGUGUUUGUUUUGUGCAUAAGUACUAUGGAGGAAAAUUAGAUCCUAGAGCCUUAAAAUGUGUUAUUAUUGGCUAUUCACCUACUCAAAAGGGAUAUAAAUGUUAUCACAUUGUGAAAAUAAGGCAGGCAUAACUAUUGCUCAUAACCCAGUACAACAUGAUUGUACAAAACAUGUUGAGAUUGAUCGAUUCUUCAUCAAAGAAAAAUUAGAAGAUCAAAGUCUCAGAAUCAGCUACACAAAUUCAAAAAAUCAAUUAGCUUAUGUAUUUACCAAGGGUUUAUGUACUAGAUUGUUUCAUUCUUUUGUAUGCAAGAUGGGUAUGACUGAUUUACAUACACCAUCUUGAGAGGGAGUGUCACGACCCCAUCCGUGGGCCCGUGACCGGCACUAGGGAAUGGGUAGGCGUAAGGCUACCGAAUCCCGUAGUAAGCCUGACACUCACUAACUCAAACCAACCUCAACUCAAAUUCUACUAUUAUUAAUAUCACAAUUUACAGUAACAUUAAAUUUUACACAAUUAAAUCGGUCUGCCAGAAGAAUUAGGUGAGACCCGAAACUACAGAAAAUUACCACUGAUAUCCCUACUAUUACUACUGCGGAGGAUCUAAGAUUUUUACAAUUUGACAUACCAAAUCAAACACCACUCGAUGAUGAAGGAGUCGGGUUACUGAAUAAGAGUCGCGGGAAGACUAACAGUCAAGAAUCUGAAAAACAGUAAAUGGAGACUGUCAGUCUCGAGAGUGAGCUAAAAUCAUAUAUUUAAAACAGUUUUCAAACAUCUCAAUAUCACAUUAUUUAAUUUUAAAAAUAAUUAAUAAAUCAUGCUAAUCAUACGCGUCAUGCCAUCCUUACCCAAAAAUAAUUCCACAUGCAACGGGACGGAGUACUUCAGUAGAACCCUAAUCCCAACUCUAACAUCUAGAUUUAUUUCAACACUUAUGUCUCAACUAACCUCAACUCUAACAUCUCAAACCUCUCAUUCCAACAGGACUGGCGCCCAAAGACCAAAGCUCGACUAGGGACCUUACCUCUAGUCGGGUCACUUAACUCUAAGCCUUAGCCUUUCGGCUCUCUUAUCCAAUAACACUGGCACACAGAGAGCAUAGCUCGACUAGGGACCUUACCUCCAGUCUGGUCACUUAAAUUUCCAAAUAAGCCGGCGCCCAGAGAGCAAUGCUCGACUAGGGACCUUUACUCCAGCAACCACACUCUACUAAGCCUAGAGAGCAAUGCUCGACCAGGGCUAAUCCUAAUCUUUCUUUCUUAAAACUUUACCUAUUUGUCAUUUCUCUAUCUCAUCUCUCUUAGAUUUAUACUGGAACACUCAUCCAACUCCUAUGUUCUACUGCCGUCCCAUCCCGAGUCAUCAUGCAUUAUUAAAAUUGGUGAUAAAGGAAAAACAUAUUUAAAUGGUAAUUAAAAGCAUCAUGCAAAUAAUAAUAAUAAUUAAAUGAAAGAUUGAAAUUGCAAAUGAAUAAUCACAGUAACAAAUCAAAUUUUAUGCAUGACACGUGCAUAAGCGAUAUAUGACUUUAACUCACAGAUUUGACGACCUCCUAACUUUGCUCCGGUGCCUCGGUUGGAGCGAGCUGAACAAACGUUCUAUCUAUUCACGGAAAACAAUUUAUCAAAACGCUGAAACAAUCGAUCAUUAAUCCUAAGUCUAGACUCCUAGGACUGACUGUCUAAGAAUCUCGACUCGGGAGAAUUCUACCGAAAAUCUGGCAGAACCUCCCCCACAACACGGACAUUACCCGUCGUAAAAACGGGUCCAGGACCUGCCAGAAAAACACUUCAAAUAUUCAACAAUUCAAACAACGGGAGUCGGGUCCCCAAAUUUCACUAUUUCCCGACUCCGCCACACAACACAAAAUACGAGGCAAGCAAACUGACCGACAAUUAUUUUUGACUACAAAUAGUAAAUACUCAACACAAAAUAAUAAGCACAAUUCUAAAUCAAAGGAUUUCCAAGAUCAACAGGCCAGAGAAAAUUACCGAGACGCUCGGUCGCUCGGUCGACUGGCCUCCGGCCGCCGGAGUCCGAUCGACAAUCCGAAUACACUAUCGGACUCACAACGAUGCACUGAUGACGAUCCUCGCUUCUGAUUUUCCGAUCUGACACCCGAUCAUCCGGAAAGAUUUGCAGACGAUCUUGGCCGUCGAUUUGCAAAUGAAGUCCGAUUGCUACAAAACCGGUGCCAUUUCGAAGCUUGAGCUGAGGAGAGUCGGGAUAUGUCCUCUGAUCAUCCAUAGCUUGCCGGAGGUCUCCAGAAAUGCCCAAAAACCUCGGCUGCCUCCAUUUUCUUUCUCCACCGUGAACCUCCAUUUCCAGCCACCAUUUUCGACACCGCCGCCGCCAAAAAAAAGCUAAGGCUAAGAGGAGUCGAUUGCCACCUGACUCGGCUGCCAACGCCGCCGGAAAUGGCCGAAAACACGCCUGGAAGCCGCUGCCUCUUCGCACUCUUCCGCUGCUCCUCGCCGCCGCCGCCGCUGCGCUCGCCAGCGCACGCCGCUCUGUCGGCCAGCGCUCCGCAGCCCCAGCGGUCGCCACCGACGCCUGCAGCGCCCCCUCCUUCUUCUUCUUCUUCCGCUUCCUCUCUCUCUCUCCUUCCUUCUUCCCCGAUUUUCUUUCCCUUCAAUAUCGACAUUAGGCCCCUGAACUUUUCCUUAUUACAAUUUGGUCCCUCAACUUUCUUAAUUACUUACAAUUCCAUCCAGAAAAAUUCCAAUUUAACCCCUAAACUUUCCUUUAGCCUUUCAAUUAAGCCCCUAACUAUUUAAUUUGGGUCAAAUUAGAAUUAUUGAAAAUACACAAUUACAAAAAUACCCCUGUCCGACAUAUUUAUUUACAAAAAUACCAAACUCACAAAUUUCCAUUAAAACCCCAUAAAAAUAAAAUUAUACUUUCAAUCCUUAUUCUAAAAUAAAUUUUCAAUUUAGUCCUAACACAAAAUUAAUUCAAAUAAUAAAUUUCCAACUUAAAAUUUAAUACGACUAUUCAAUUAAAAUACCAAUUUUUUCAAAAUUCUUUUAUAAAAACAUCCCUUAUAAUUUCUACCAUAAUUUUUCCAAUAUAUAAUUUUAUUUAUACAUAUACAUAUACAUUGGGGAAAAAUUAGAAUAACAAAAAAUAUAUUCUACCCUUCAAAUAAUUUACUUAAGUAAUUCUUAAAAUUUCAACUAAUUGGGUAUAGAAAAAAUAAUUCAUUCAAUUGACUAAUAUUAAAAUUUCCAUUAAAUCUUUUUAAAUUAAACCAAAUAAAAAUAAAGCUAAAAUUAACUUAAAUAGAAACUCAUUAUUAAAUAUAUAAAAAUUUCGGGUAUUACAUUCUCCCCUCCCCCCCCCCUUAACAAAAAUUUGUCCUCGAGUUUGAAAAGAAAAAGGGGCUUCACACUAAGAUUGAAACUAAUUAGGAACCUCUCAUCUCCACUCGGCUUCUUGAGAACUUUCCUCGGCAGAAAUAAACUCAAUCACAAGACUCAUCGACAAAACCCUUAAGCAAAUCUGCGAUCCUGAUUUACGGCUCCUUGGAAACCAAAUCUUUACUUACUCCUACACACUGAGGGUUCAACACGAGCAAAAGAUCGAAAAUAUACUUCCUCAACUCAGACUUACAAACAACUGGAUUUGACCUCAGAGAACAUUACUUGGCAGCAAGUCCAACUUACAUGCCACCUCACCAACCUGUCGACAAAACCAAGGGUCCAUAACCUUAUUUUCUUACCGAACCACAUCACUUAUGACAUAAAAGUCACCUUAUUAAUACAUACUCUCCAACACCAAUCUCCACGUGCCCCCACUCGGGUUUGCAUAACCCCUCUGCUUCCAAAAAGCUGUCUUCAGCUGCUCGCGAGAAAAAGAACCUCCUUUUAUAGACCUGGACCAACUCUGGUCUUGCCAACAAUCCACUCGCCAUCUUCCUUCCUAAUGACAUGCCCCUUGCACGUACAGAAAAAUCCUUAACAUCCACAUCACAUCAUCCUCUACAUAACAUCCAUCUGAUCGCAUCAACCGAUAUAAACCAUGCCAUCCUCACACAAGAUUCCUCCUUGACUGAAAUCCAGAAGCCUCCUUUAUUAUCUAACAUGGAGCCUACUACGCCACAGAUUCAUUCUCACAGCAACUCAGCUCGUCAUCCAGAGAAUUCUCAAGCUAACACCAUUCACUCAAAAAAUUUACUUAUUUAUUUACCUCAUAAUCAUCACUGAUAAAAGCUUUAUUAUCUUGGAAAAAUACUUUUAUAAAAUCGUAAAACCUCUAGCCAUUUCUUUAUAUAAAAUUCUACAAUAUCGCACACCAGGGUGAUGAUGCCCCUAUCACCAAGGGUUGCAAUGCACGAUGUAUGAUGCAUGUCCUAAAAUGAAUUUAUGCAUGCCUAAUAGUGAAAUGCCAUAUGCAUUCUUACAGGACUGGGCGCAAUAUUUUAUUUUAAAACACUUAUUCUACUUAGAAAAAUAAAUAAUGUUAACUUAAGUUUCUCUGAAUUCCGAUCAUCCGAAAAUACUCCUACCACCUUUCUUAAGCUUCUUACAAUCACAAACUCAACCAUAAAACUCUAACAUCCGCUCGACUUCCCAAGCACUAACGUCGGCGCUACUCAAUAAGGCGAUGCCCGAUGCGAUGACGAGGUAGUCCAUGACACGACUGCAACCACGCUCUACACUAAAACUGAUUGCGGUGCCCACCAUCAAAACAACAAUCAAAGCUUCCAAAGGCAGACUGCACUAAUCACUUGAAGAAACAGCAUGAGUCUAUCACGCUUCGGAUCUUCCCAUCGCUACAAAGCUCAUUCUCAGCACAGCAUCAAAGACAAGCUCACGGAAAAAGAAUGACAGACUCUCUAACAGAGAAGGCUGAGACACUGGAGUCAAUGAAAAUAACAAGACAGACUUGAUCCUAGCUCCACAGUACCAAGAAAAAUCUUAACUUAGGUCGAAGGAAAUCUAAACCUAAGCUCUGAUACCAACUUUGUCACGACCCCAUCCGUGGGCCCGUGACCGGCACUAGGGAAUGGGUAGGCGUAAGGCCACCGAAUUCCGUAGUAAGCCUGACACUCACUAACUCAAACCAACCUCAACUCAAAUUUUACUAUUAUUAAUAUCACAAUUUACAGUAACAUUAAAUUUUACACAAUUAAAUCGGUCUGCCAGAAGAAUUAGGUGAGACCCAAAACUACAGAAAAUUACCACUGAUAUCCCUACUAUUACUACUGCGGAGGAUCUAAGAUUUUUACAAUUGACAUACCAAAUCAAACACCACCCGAUGAUGAAGGAGUCGGGUUACUGAAUAAGAGUCGCGGGAAGACUAACAGUCACGAAUCUAAAAAAUAGUAAAUGGAGACUGUCAGUCUCGAGAGUGAGCUAAAAUCAUAUAUCUAAAACAGUUUUCAAACAUCUCAAUAUCACAUUAUUUAAUUUUAAAAAUAAUUAAUAAAUCAUGCUAACCAUACGCGUCAUGCCAUGCUUACCCAAAAAUAAUUCCACAUGCAACGGGACGGAGUACUUUAGUAGAAACCUAAUCCCAACUCUAACAUCUCGAUUUAUUUCAACACUUAUGUCUCAACUAACCUCAACUCUAACAUCUCAAACCUCUCAUUCCAACAGGACUGGCGCUCAGAGGCCAAAGCUUGACCAAGGACCUUACCUCUAGUCCGGUCACUUAACUCUAAGCCUUAGCCUUUCGGCUCUCUUAUCCAAUAAGACUGGCGCCUAGAGAGCAUAGCUCGACCAGGGACCUUACCUCCAGUCUGGUCACUUAAAUUUCCAAGUAAGCCGGCGCCCAGAGAGCAAUGCUCGACCAGGGACCUUUACUCCGGCAACCACACUCUACUAAGCCUAGAGAGCGAUGCUCGACCAGGGUUGAUCCUAAUCUUUCUUUCUUAAAACUUUACCUAUUUGUCCUUUCUCUAUCUCAUCUCUCUCAGAUUUAUACUGGAACACUCAUCCAACUCCUAUGUUCUACUGCCGUCCCAUCCCGAGUCAUCAUGCAUUAUUAAAAUUGGUGAUAAAGGAAAAACAUAUUUAAAUGGUAAUUAAAAGCAUCAUACAAAUAAUAAUAAUAAUUAAAUGAAAGAUUGAAAUUGCAAAUGAAUAAUCACAGUAACAAAUUAAAUUUUAUGCAUGACACGUGCAUAAGCGAUAUAUAACUUUAACUCACAGAUUUGACGACCUCCUAACUCUGCUCCGGUGCCUCGGUUGGAGCGAGCCAAACAAACGGACUAUCUAGUCACGGAAAACAAUUUAUCAAAAUGCUGAAACAAUCGAUCAUUAAUCCUAGGUCUAGACUCCUAGGACUGACUGUCUAAGAAUCUCGACUCGGGAGAAUUCUACCGAAAAUCCAGCAGAACCUCCCCUACAACACGGACAUUACCCCCUAUAAAAACGGGUCCAGGACCUGCCAGAAAAACACUUCAAAUAUUCAACAAUUCAAACAACGGGAAUCGGGUCCCUAAACUUCACUAUUUCCCGACUCCGCCACACAACACAAAAUACGAGGCAAGCAAACUGACCGACAAUUAUUUUUGACUCACAAAUAUUAAAUACUCAACACAAAACAAUAAGCACAAUUCUAAAUCAAAGGAUUUCCAAGAUCAACGGGCCAGAGAAAAUUACCGAGACGCUCGGUCGCUUGGUCGACUCGCCUCCGGUCGCCGGAGUCCGAUCGACAAUCCGAACACACCAUCGGACUCACAACGACGCGCUGAUGACGAUCCCUACUUCCGAUUUUUCGAUCUAACACCCGAUCAUCCGGAGAGAUUUGCGAACGAUCUCGGCCGUCAAUUUACAAAUGAAGUCCGAUCGCCAUAAAACCGGUGCCAUUUCGAAGCUUGAGCUGAGAAGAGUCGGGAUAUGUCCUCUGAUCAUCCAUAGCUUGCCGAAGGUCUCCAGAAAUGCCCAAAAACCUCGGCUGCCUCCAUUUUCUCUCUCCACCGUGAACCUCCAUUUCCGGCCACCAUUGUCGACACCGCCGCCGCCAAAAUAAAGCUAAGGCCAAGAGGAGUCAAUUGCCACCCGACUCGGUUGCCAACGCCGCCGGAAAUAGCCCGAAACACGCAUGGAAGCCGCUGCCUCUUCGCGCUCUUCCGCCGCUCCUUGCCGCCGCCGCUGCGCUCACCAGCGCACGCCGCUUUGUCGGCCAGCGCUCUGCGCCCCCUCCUUCUUCUUCUUCUUCCGCUUCCUCUCUCUCUCUCUCCUUCCUUCUUCCCUGAUUUUCUUUCCCUUCAAUAUCGACAUUAGGCCCUCAAACUUUUCCUUAUUACAAUUUGGUCCCUCAACUUUCUUAAUUACUUACAAUUCCAUCCAGCAAAAUUCCAAUUUAACCCCUAAACUUUCCUUUAGCCUUUCAAUUAAGCCCCUAACUAUUUAAUUUGGGCCAAAUUAGAAUUAUUGAAAAUAUAUAAUUACAAAAAUACCCCUGACCGACAUAUUUAUUUACAAAAAUACCAAACUCACAAAUUUCCAUUAAAACCCCAUAAAAAUAAAAUUAUACUUUCAAUCCUUAUUCCAAAAUAAAUUUCCAAUUUAGUCCUAACACAAAAUUAAUUCAAAUAAUAAAUUCCANNNAAAUUCUUUUAUAAAAACAUCUCUUAUAAUUUCUACCAUAAUUUUUCCAAUAUAUAAUUUUAUUUAUACAUAUACAUAUACAUUGGGGAAAAAUUAGAAUAACCAAAAAUAUAUUCUACCCUUCAAAUAAUUUACUUAAUUAAUUCUUAAAUUUUCAACUAAUUGGGUAUAGAAAAAAUAAUUCAUUCAAUUGACUAAUAUUAAAAUUUCCAUUAAAUCUUUUCAAAUUAAACCAAAUAAAAAUAAAGCUAAAAUUAACUUAAAUAGAAACUCAUUAUUAAAUAUAUAAAAAUUUCAGGUAUUACAGUGUUGACAGUUGUUCCCAUGUUUUUUAGGCCUCAAUUUUAGGAGUUAAUUAGUAUUGACUCUUGAUUGUAGUAACCAAUCAUGCAUAUUACUGUUAAUUAGGCAGUAGUGCUUCUUUCUUUUUAGAGAUGUGUGAACCCUAUAAAUAAAGGUUAAUGGGUGUAGAAAAAAAUAAUAGAAACCAUUAAAUUUCUUCUUGUUCUAAAAACUUCAAAACUAAAGACAAACAUACACUGGAAUCAGCUUCUCUUAUCCCCAGAGAGUCGCCAAUGUGGGCGGUAGUUUCAGGCGCACACCUAAGUGUCUUUAGCGACUACAGAACUGUAAGGCUUUUCAACCUAAUCGGGAACACUCUAACUAAUCACUGAGACUAGCGUAGCGAUGGGAGUCGCCACUCGGGUAAUCGUCGGGACUCUUUUACUAAUUAGCGGCGUUUCUCAAAUUCCAUAAGGUAGCUUACGCCAUAGAGUCUAGAGAUGGAUCCGAAAGUCAACUUCCUUAUUUGUGUAUUUUAGUAUUUAAUUUUAUUGUUUAACAAAUUAUUCUCUACAAAUGCAAGCAAUUUAUAGACAGGCACGUCAAAGCAUCACACAUAAUACACCUACAUCUAGCUUAUUUUAAUUAAACCCAACCCAUAUUAAAAUAGUUAGCUUAAUUUCCUAAUCAAUUAUGUACAAACCCAUCUAGUAUAGCCCAAUUACCAAUUAUGCACUUGAGUUCCAACGUUUAAGCCUAAUGGACUACUUGUUAUGAGAAGGCCCAUUCAUUGUGAUUUUAACCCUAACUAAGUUCAAGCCCUAACUAAACAUCCUAAAGCCUGCUAAGUCUACUUAGAUUUUAGGUUAUAGAAUCAAUUAAAGUUGGUUAGCCUAUUAGACUACCAAAUUCAUUUUAGAUUAAUUUUAACUCUAAGUCUAUGUGGCUCAUUUUAAUUAACCAAUCACAUAAUCAUAUAUUUAAUUAACAUACAAUAAACAAAAUAAAGCAGAAAGUAAAACCUAAUUAUUACAACCCGCCUACAACUACGAUUGCGAAAAGGAAAAGACCUAAAACUAUACAGAAACUAAAAGUACAUUAAAAACUACAAAAAAAACACAAAAAUUGGAGGCUAGCUUGAACAACCAAUAAGCUCUAUGUGUAGAGCAAAUCGGCUAAAUGCAGAGCCGAGCCGAUCAGCUCUAGGGUUUCUAAACUGAUUUUCAUUGUUCGGUACAUUCUCGCAUCCCUAGAGCCGAAUUUCACAUGAACAACAUUAAAAUCUAUUAGAAUAAAAGAAAAUAAGAUAAAAACAUUAAGAUAAAAGUGACAAGCCAAUUGAACGAUCAAAAUCCUAAACUAAUAAAAAAAACCUAAGAAUAGUAAACUAACAGAUAGCAGAAUCAAUCAAGGAAAUCAUAUUUAAUAGGUUUAAUUACCUAAUCAUAAUGAAAAAUAAAUCUAAAUAUUAAUCCUAUAACAUGUUUCUCAUUAAAUCUAAAAUCCUAAUUGGUAAAAUAUCAUAUUUCGAAAGCAUAAGUUCUUAUUAUUAGAAUCAAGACCAAUAAUCAUGCAUAUUCAUAAAAAAUCCUAAUCUAAUCAUACUUAUCAUAAAUCAAAAUCCUAAUCAUAUUUCUAAACACAAAUAAUCCAAAAAGAAAAAAGAAGAAGGAAAGAACCGAUUUUAUGAUGAUGGUGUAUGUAUGAUUAAAGAAAUCCUCAGGUUGUCACCAUGAAUGUUGGAUUUACGGGUCUCAGACGAUGUGGAUGCAGUUGAGUCAAAGACUGGAUAGGAAUCCAGUGCUGGAUCUGGUGUAGAGAAACCUCCUGUCGAUUUAGAAAUAGUUUCCUAAAACUGUUCUUACUUAAGUGACUUAGAUCCUCUAUUGUCUACUGAGAUCGACAAUGUUUUUCUUUCUUUUCUCUCUGAUUUUUCUCUUUAUUCUUUCUUUCUCAAUAUCUCUUAAAUCUUAAUCUCACUUACGACCAAUUUUCAAUUCUUAAUUCCUCAUCAAAACCCUAAUCACCUCUUUGUAUUAUAGAGGUAGGUUUUAAAGGAAAACCUAAAGAAAGCGAUAGAUUUUUAGGAAUAUUAAUAAAUAUCUCACUUUACUUUUUAAAAAUUUAAAUAAUUAUCCAUAAACUGAUGCUUAUCAUCUAGAAAAUCUUCUAGAAUCUGUAUCUGAAUGUGAGAUCAUCACAAAAGAUGAUGUCAAAAUGCCAAAAACUCAAUCAGAUAGAGCCGAUAGGUUCUAUAGGGAAGUUUAAAAAAGUUCAAAUAGGUCCCUGAAUUUGUAAACACUGCAUUUUGAUCCUCAAACUUAAUUUUUUUGAUAAUUUGGUCCAAAUUGAUUUCAAAAAGAUGAUUCUAGCUGGAUUGACCUUGACCUUAGCCUCGAUUCGCCUGUCCUUCACCUUCUGAGAUCUGAGAAAUUUGGAAAAAGGGCACUGACACUUCUAAAAUCUCAGUAUCUACCAUCUCAUGCAUAUUAUCACUACAAUCAUCAUCACAAGUAUGAGAUGAAACCUCAUUGGAGUCAUCCUCUAUGGCUAAAGUAAAGGUUGGCAAGUUCUUCUUCAUCUUCUUCACUUGAAGAACUAUCAUCCCAAGUUACCUUGAAUGCUUUUCUUUUCUCCUUCUUGUUCUUGUUUUUGUAGUAAUUGGCCUUAACAUGCUCUUGCUUGCCACACCCAUAGCAAGUAACAUCUAAGGUUGAGCUUAAACGUGAUUUCUUAAAGGAUAUUUUGUCUUUUUUCUUGUCCUUGAAUAUUUCCUUGAUCCUUCUAGAGAGCAUGGCCAACUCUUCAUCUUCACUUCCACGUGACUCACCUAAGACUACUAAGUAUCAAAUAAUUGAGAAAAUUAAAAAAAAAAGAUUUUUUUUUAUUACAAUUCACCAAGAUCAAGAAGUCAAUUCAUCCAAUCAAAAAAAAGAUAUUGAAAAAGAUUAUAUGGAAUUAGAUACAAAAAAACAUAGACAUAAAAAGAAAAACAAAAGUCAUAUGGAAGUAGAACUUGAUUUCUUUCUAAAACGAUAUUUAUAUUUUCAAUUAAGAUGGAAUGGUUCUUUAAAUCAAAAAAUAAUCAAUAAUAUCAAAGUAUACUGUCUCCUUCUUAAAUUGACAAAUCCAUGCGAAAUUAUUAUAUCUUAUAUUCAAAGGCAAGAAAUAAGUCUGAAUAUUUUGAUGAUUCAGAAGGAUUUAACUCUUACAACUUUCAAUUUGAGUCUUUGUGGCACUCUUGAGAGCUAGUGCUUUCUUUUUAUCUCUUUCUUUAUCCUUUUCUAUCUCUUCUUCCCUUUCCAAGGCCAUCUCAUGAGUGAGAAGCUUUUCUAUGAGCAUAUCCAUGGGAAUUUUACCAAGAUCCUCAUUAGCUUCUUUAAUAUCGGCCACUCUUGAUCCAUAUUUUUUAAUGACAAUGAUUUUAGGAUUUUUUUUUGUUGAUGUCCACCAAGUCAUAGUGCUUGCCAAGCUUCCUCAUAUUAUUGACAAUAGCUAAAAGUCUAUUUGUCAUUUCGGUUAAGCUCUCAUGUGGCUUCAUCUUGGAGAGCUCAUAUUCGGUUAUAAGCAAUUAUACCUUCUUAGACUUGACUUGCAUGGUCCCUUCAUGGUAGUUUUCUAGAGUCUUCCAAAUGCUAUAAGUGCUUGGGCUUUACCAUAUUAUUCCCUUGAUAAGGACCUAAGAAGAAUUGCUAUAACCUUUUUAUUUUUACCAUUUGCUCUUCUAUGUGCCUCUACCCAUUCCUCUUAAGGAAUUGACACCUGUAAACCAUCUAUCUCUUUUAUUAGAGGCUUUCAUUCCUUUAGCACACUAUCCCACACAUCUACUAGGUCACUAUCUAAGUAGACCUCCAUUCUAUAAUUCCAAUAUGGAUAAUCAUAUCCAUAAAAAUGGUUUAAAAUAAUGCAUACCUUCAUUAGCCAUCUUGAAUCUUUAACUCACGCACUUAAGCUUGAUAGUGAGCAUGGGGCUCUAAUAUCACUUGUUGGACCUAGAUGCACCUAGAGAGGGGGGUGGGGGGGUUGAAUUGGUGUUUGAAAGGUUGAUGGGCAAUCAAAAAUUUGCUCAAGAGAUUGGGUACCCAAACCAUUUUGGCUCUUUGGGGGUUAGCCAUGAAGGUCUGUCCUAAUUAGAGAUGUGCCUUCCUAAUGUAAUAAUAAACAUUAAUGUGCCCAUUCCGCAUGCAGUAAUGACAUUGAACAUUAGGAUUGAACUUUCUUUUGUUCAAGUGCCUCUUUGCUUGAGGCUUGGGUCAUAAUAUACCUUUAGCUUUGUUAUGCAUGCAAAAGCAACUUUUGGUGUAUAGUGAUUAGUGUGGUCGGCUACAAUACUGUAAGGUUUUUCAACCUAAUUGGGAACACGCUAACUAGCCACAGAGACUAACGCGAAAAUGGGAGCCGCCACCCGGUUAAUUCAUCCGGGACACUUUUACCAACGAGUGGCGUUUCUUGAUUUCAUAAGGAAGCUUAAGCCACAAAUUCAUAGAUGGAUCUGGAAGCCAACUUUCUUAUUUGGGUAUCUCAAUCUUUAAUUUUAUUGUUUAAUGUGUUAUUCUCUAUAAACACAAGAGUUUAUAUCUACAAGCAUACAAUUCAGCAUGUGAGGUCUUUUUAAGUCUAGCCCAUUUUAUUUAGCCCAGCCCAUGUUAAAGUUAUUAAUCUAAUUUACUAGUCAAUUAUGUAUAAGGCCCACCUAGUCUAGUCCAAUUACAAAUUAUAUUUUGAGUUCCAUCCUUUAAACCUAAAUGGACUACUUUUUAUAUUAAGGCCUAAUUAUGUGAUCUUAAAUCUAAUGUGGCCUAACUAAUUUAAUUAAAGCAUGGCAAAACUCACUAAGUCUAUACUGAUUUUAAAAUUAGGCCCAAUGUACUAUUAUUUAACCUAAUGGACUAUAAUUUUAAUAUUUGGUCUGAUUUUAACUUAGGGUCUAUGUGGCCCAUUUUAUUUAGGCAAUCACAUCACAAUUAUUUAGCAUCCAUUAAACAAAGAAUAAAGUAUAAGAAAGUAAAUCUAACUAUUACAAUCUAUCCUAUAAUUAAAAAAUGAAAAAAGAAGAAAAGAACACCUAAAUCUAAGUACAGUAUAUAGAUAUCAUUAAAAUACAUCAAAAACUUGAAAAAUUAGGGUUGGAAGGUGAACAGUCGAUCGACUCAAGGCAUAGAGCCGAUCGGCUCAACGUAGAGCCAUAUCGGCUCUGGAGGCUUUUCUUGUUGGUUCUUCAAUCUCUCGAGUUUUUCACAUCCUAGUGUCGAAUCCACAUGCAUAAGAGUUAAAAGAUCAAUUAAAACACAAGAAAAAUGAAGCAAAAAGAAUAAAUAAUAUUGAAUUGGGCAUAAAACUUAAGAAAAUCAUACAAACCCUAAAAACAAGAUUGACAGUAAAUGAAAAUGGUAAAUUUCAAGUUUUAAUUAUGGAACCCUAAAAAAACUAAUUUAAUUGCAAAGGCAUAUAGAAAACACAAAUUUCAACAUGCAACCUUAAUCAUUUGACUAAACAGAUCUAAAACCUAAGGGCAAACAUAUUAAUAGAUUCAAUAUCGUAUAUGUUCUUAUUAUUAGGUUCAAUGCCCAACAUGUUCAUAUUAUCAUAUUCAAGGCUCAACAUUUUAAUUCACAAGAAAUCCUAAUAUAAUCACAAAAAACACAUAAAAGAGUAAUAAAUAAAUAAAACCCCUAGUCAUGUUUCUAAAAUCAUGAAGGUUCACAAGAACCAGUUUAAUGGGAAAGGUGAUAUUGAUGAUGAUGGAUGUAGGGGAACCCUAAAACUGUCACUGUAGAUGGUUGUUCUAUGAGUCUCAAGAGACGAUGAAGCGGUAGAAUUGAAGACGAGAUGAGAAUCUAGCAUUGUCUAGGAUUUAGAAAAGCUUAUGUCAUUCAAUAAAAAUACAUUCCUAAAUUGAGUUCUUUCUUAGUGGCCUAUGACUGAAGUUACCAAAAAAAAUCUCUAUUUUUAAAAUGAAUGUAAAGUGAAUUGUUAUUAAUUACUAAAAUUUAAAGAUAAUUAGUAACCCUAAUAUUAAGUUAUAACGAUGUAUAUAUAGAGCUAAGGUUUAGGAAACCCUAAAGGAGUAGAUAGACUCAUAUCGAUUUUUUUCCAAAAAGAAAAGAUAUCCUUUAUCUGUUAUUAAUAUCCAAUAAAUAAAUCUUUAAAAUUUAAAUAAAUAUCAAUAAAAUCUAUCAAGUACCAUUAAAUGCCCUCUAGAAUCUUUUUUAUUAAUUUUGGUGUUUUAAAGUCAAAAUACACAAAAAAAACAACAUCAGAUUUUAAAGUUUAGCCAAUCGGCAGUGUGUAGAACCGAUCGGCUCUAUGCUAAGCAGAUCGUAUGUGGAGAGUCGAUUCACCUGCAAGGUUGAUUACAUCUGACUCCAAAAAGAAAUUUAGAUUCAGCUGGAAAGCUUUCAUAUCAAAGAAAGAAAAGAUUAUGCUCGAAGAUGCUGAAAGGAAUUCAAAUCUCAUGGGCAAUAAGUUCACAAGUCAAUAUAGACCAUUUCAAAUAUUAUCUUUUGAAAAAAAUAAAGCAAAUAGAAAAAAAAAAGAAAAAACGAGAAAACAAGAAAACAAAUCCUGCUGAUUGGAGGAUCUAUAUAAGUUAGUCAAACAAAAGUAAAGAAAAUAAAAGAUGAGAUAGAAAUAUUCGACUAGAAAAUCUGAAAGGACUAGUUGAUAACAAGAGUAGUAUUAUGUGAAAUAGAGACUGUUUGUGCCCUUAUUAAAUGAACAAUAUUUGAUUAGAAAUUUUUGUUAAAUUUACACAUUAGUAGAAGAAGAAAACAAAUAAGAAGCAGAAUCUAUGAGAUCUACUGGAAGCAUGAUCAUUUUCUUGUAGCACUUAAGUCUAUAUCAAUUGACAUCACAAUCAAUUAGCAAGCCACAACCUCUCAAUCUUGUCUAAAAAUCAUACCUCUAUGGGAAACCUUUAAAGUGACGUGGGUAUUCCAGAAUAAGCUAUUGAUAUCGAAGCCUAGAUAGGGCAUAGAGAGUAGACUCUCAAAGUCCUAGCAAAAGAACACAUGCCACAUAUAUUCAAAGAGUGAUAUUAUAGAUCUUCCACUAAUGGCAAAUCCAUCGGAUAAAGGUGUCUGGCAGGCCCUUCAUCCAGUCAGCUUAGUCCUCACUACUGAAAGCAGCUCCUUGCUUGAUAGCAAUGCGAGUCCGCAAAUGUUUUAGCUCAUACUUGGUAAUGUCUCUUGGAACUAUCACCAGUUCUUGCGCAACCAAAUCUAUAAAAGAGAAAAUAAAGAAAAAUAUAAAGAAAAAAUGCUAAGUUGAAAAUUCGAAAGGGAAGCUUAGGCAAAAGUAGUCUGCUAAGUUAAGAACUAGAAAGGAUAGUUUAGGCAAAAGUUAAAACAUUAGCCUGCUAAGUUGAAAACCUGAAAGGGCGGCUUAGACAAAAGUUAAGACGUAAAAGUAAUAAAAGGAAAGAGAUUUGAUUGCUAUUUGCAUGAUAUUACUGUGAAGCCAAUUGUCAUUACACAAGUAUCAGUACAGCCCCAAGGCAAAAUGAUUUAGUCCUUGCAUGCUUGAGUUAUCUCUACAUCUACACUUCUUGUCGUCACCAUGACUUUCAGAUUUCUGAUAUACAUCAUCGUCUUCAUCAUUUUCUAUCAACCAUUUGGCUCCAUGCCCUGUGAUCAAAGAGUAGAUAACCUACCUUGUCAAAGCGUCAAUCUCUUGCUGAUAAGUGUCGAAAUGCCUUUGUCCAAACUAAAGGAUAAUUUUUAAAAUGCAUUACAUGUCAUACAUAACAUGCAUAUCACAUACGUUCAUUACUUUUGCUUGAUGAGAUCUGUAUGUAUACCUAUAUAUAUAUCACUAAUCUGUAAUAGGAAAAUAAAAAAAAGUUCAAAAAGAAAUAGAGCAUUCGAACUAUAUUCGAGUUUAACUUCUGAAGCGGAAGAUGCAUCAGUUUACUUCUCGAAGCAUAAGUUUAUCAGUUUACUUCCCGAAGCGGAGAUUAUCAAGCUUACUUUCUAAAGUUGAAGAUCAUCAAUUUAUAUUCCGAAGCGGGAUAAUUAUCAUCCUAUAGUAGAAUACAAUCAGUGGAAGAUCAUCAACUUACUUUUUGAGAAGUGAAAGCUCACUGGCUUAUUUUUCAGAAGUAGAGAAUCAGUUUAAGUACUAAAGAAUUGACACACAUUCCGAAGUGAAAGUUAUCUAAGAGAGUAAAAUACAUACCAAAUCACAACCUGAAGCAGAAAUUACAACAUAAUUGCAUCCCAAACCGGAAGGUAAUAAAGAAGCUAGAGGAAAGUCUUUAUAAGUACAAAUCAAAUAGGCGUGGUUUCUAAAUCAUCAGCAUGGCUCCCAAAUUAGACGAGCGUGGUUCCUAAAUCAGACGGGCAUGGUUUCCAAAUCAGACAGACGUGGUUCCUAGAUCAACGAGCGUGGUUCCCAAAUCAACGAGCACGGUUCCCAAAUCAAUGGGCGUGGUCCUCAAACAACCAAGCAAGCGAAAUCCUCAAAUAUUCAAGCAGGCGAAGUUCUUAAAUAUUCAAGAGUGUAAUCCUCAAAACUCAAGUGGGCAUGGUCCCCACAUCAAAUCAAUAAUCUCUAGUUCGAGCUUACGGGGCGUGGCUUCUACAGUUCAUCAGAAUAUCUUGUUACCAUAUCCUUGACAUUUAUGCUUUGUCUCAUUUUAUUUAAAGUUCAUUUACAUAAAUUUUGAUAAAUUGGGGGCAGCUGUCAGCAUCCAUUUUUCGAAUCCAAAUAUCGAGGGAAUUAUGAAAAAUCGUAGGAUGAAAGUUACUGCCUUUCUCAAGUCUCAGAAGUCUGAGGGCUAAUUUUAUAUAUAUUUAAUUAUCAAAAUUCCUUAUAUUUAAUGUUAUUUUGUUUAAAGAAUUAGUGAUUUUGCUGUUUUUAUGCAUAUUAGGUUGGAAUAGAAGUUUUGGUUUAAAAUCAAGCCAAAAGGAGCUAAAACGCGCAACAUGACCACAACAUGACCAAAUUUGGUCAUGUUGUGGUCAUGUCACAGGAGAAAAACAGUCUAAACAAGAGAUCUAAACCUAAUCUGAAAAAGGGGCCUCAACACAUAUAUAUAAGCAGCAAUUUCCAACAGAGGGAAGGACUUCUCUCCUCUGAAAAAAAAAAUACACACACAUUCAUUCCUUCUCUUCAAGCAAGAUUAUAAGUGAAGAUUCAAGAUCCAAGAUUGAAGAUCUUAAGAGUUAAAAGGGGUUUUUAUCAUCUUCUAUCAUGUCUCUUCUUCUUUGGAAUCUUUAUUUCAUUGUUCUUCCAUUAUUCAUCAUGAACUAAUUCUUUCUUUCAAGUAUAGGAGUAUGUAGUUGAAUUUCAAACCCUAUUUAAUUUGAUUCGAGUUUUCUUUCAAAGUUAUGAAUUUUGUUGAUUUGUUUAAUGCUUAAUUAAUUUUCUGGCCAAUUAUUUUUCAUGAUUUGAGAUUAUAUAGUUGCUUCCAGAGAAGAAUUAUAUAAGAGCUCCAAUUAACAAGACUAAAUAUUGUAAACUUAAAUAAGGAUAUUGGGUUGAUGAGCUUUAGGCAUUUAGUGUGGCAAUUCACAAUUCUGUUGAUUAAUUAUUUUCCAAGAUUAAUUGCUUCGAGAGAUGAGUUAAAUAGAGGGUUUAAUUAAUCAAUAAAAUUAGUCUUAUAAGUCUAAGGAUAACUUAUAAGCAAUUUACCUUGUUUUAUAACAGAAAACUUGAUUAGAUUAAAUAGGGGGAAAUCAAUGAAAUCUACCUAUACUUGAGCUUAGUCUUAUUAUCUUAAACCUUUUGAACUUGAUUACUUUUAGUUACUUUAGUUCAUUAGCUUUAGUUCUCAAAAAAUAUCUUUACUUAGUUUAAUUAAACUGAAAUAGUAGGAAUUGCAAUUGAUACUGAGUCUCUGUCGGGACGAUACUUGACUUAUCAUUAUAUUACUUGUUCGAUUGUGUAUGCUUGCAUAGCUCGCAUCAAGUUUUUGGUGUCGUUGCCAGGGAUUCGGUGCUAUUAAUUGUGAUUUUGUUUAUUAUUGUUUAGUUAAAUCUUUUUCUGACUUCUUUUUCUGUUGUUUUUAGGUGCAUUUUCGGUAUAUGCUGACUAGGAGAAAGGUGAAAGAAGAAGAUCUUGAACCUGAUCCUAUUGAUUUUGAAAUUAAAAAGUCUGUUACAAGUAAAAGAAGAGCAAGUCGAAGGGCUAGAAAAAUUGAAUUUCAAUGAGCAAUGGCUGGAGUUGACAAUAAGACCCUUCGGGAAUAUAGUGCGCCAAAGGUUGUGGUGUAAUCGGGUAUAGUUUAUCCCGAGAUAGCUGAGAACAAUUUUGAGAUCAACCCCCAACUUUAUUUCUAUGGUGAGGAACAAUACACAGUUUAAUAGGUUUCCUAAUGAAGAUCCUCAUCAUCAUCUUAAAGUCUUCUUAGAAGUUUGUGGGUUAGUAAAGAAGAAUAAUGUACCUCAAGAGACAAUUAAGAUGCUGCUCUUUCCAUUCUCUCUUAUAGAAAGAGCUAGAGCUUGGUUGGACUCGAUACUUGCUGGUUCUAUUACUACUUAGGCACAGUUGAGUGAGGCUUUCUUAGAUAGAUUCUUUUCUCUUGGAAAAACUAUGCAAAUGAGGAACAAUAAUACUGAAUUCAAGCAAUAUGAUGGGGAGACCUUUUAUGAAGCUUGGGAGAGGUUUAAGGAAUAUUUGAGGAAGUGUCCUAAUCAUGAGUUGCCUGAGUGGAUGGUGGUGCAACAUUUUUGUAAGGGCUGUUGUGAUGAAUUGAAACAUACCAUAGAUGCUGCAGCUGGUGGUUCUAUUAUGGGUAAAACUAUUAGUGAUUCCUGCAGGUUGAUUGAGGUAAUGGCACUUAAUAGUUAUCAAUGGCCAACUGAGAGGUAGACUGGUGUGAAAAAGGCAGCUAGGGUGCUUGAGGUGAAUUCAAAUCAAUUUUUGCAAGCUCAAGUGAAUGCUAACCAACAUGCUUUGCAAAAUUUGACUUGGAUGAUGGAGAGGUUAGAUGCUAAAUUUACCACUCAUCAAACUGUUAUGUAUUGUGAUCUAUGUGGGGAGAACAAUCAUGUUAGUAGAGAUUGUCAAAAGGGGAAUCCAUUUAUCCUUAAGCUUGAGGAGCAAGUUAAUUAUGUUGGUGGGAAUUAUAGGAAUAAUUUUCAAUAAAGGAUGGCCAAUAGCCCAUAUUCCAACGCAUAUAAUCCUGGAUGGAGGAAUCACCCUAACUUUUCUUGGGGAAGGAAUAAUGCAUAGAAACAAGCACCUCAUGGAUUUCAACAACCUGCUCAACAAACUAAGGGGAGAGCUGAUGUGAGUGAUAGUAAGCUUGAUAGCAUUUUGGAGAUGUUAACCACUCAAAGCAACCAACAUGGUAAUUCUAUUAAGAAGUUAGAAGAGGCGAUAGUGCAACUUAGUCAAACAUCCAAGAAUCAGCAAUCUUCAAUUCAUAGUUUAGAGAAUCAAAUGGAGCAAAUAGCACAAUCCUUGAAUUCUAAGAAUCCAGGCACUUUUCCUAGUAAUACUGAGGUGAAUCCCAAGCAAUACAGCGCUAUUACACUUAGGAGUGGUAGGAAAUUGGAGUCUCCCUAGGUUGAUAUUGGGAAAUCAACACCGGCUGAUCCUAAGGUGGUGAUUGAGGAUGUAGUAGCUGAACCAAAGGUAGAAGAUGAUGGUAAAAAGGUUGAAUCCACACCUAAUACAACCACCUAUGAGCCUCAGGUUCCAUAUCCUCAAAGGUUAAAGAAAGUUCAAUAAGAUCUUCAAAGGUUUAGGUUUCUAGAUGUGUUCAAAAAGUUGCAUAUCAACAUUCCUUUUGUUGAAGCUCUUGCCAACAUGCCAACCUAUGCAAAGUUCUUGAAAGAUGUCAUAUCUAACAAGAAGAAAUUAGAGGAGCUUCAAACAAUUGCAUUGACCGAGGAGUGCAGUAGCAUUAUAUCUCACCAAGUUCCUCUUAGACUUGAGGAGCCAAGGAGUUUUACUAUCCCUUGUGUGAUUAGUGAUUAUGCUUUUAAUAGAUUUUAUGUGAUAUAGGUUCUAAUGUGAAUUUAAUCCAUAUUUUGUGUUUAAAAAAUUAGGACUUGGAGACAUAUCACCCACUACACUUACCUUGCAAUUGGCUGAUAGGUCUGUUAAGAGACCUGUAGGGAUUAUAGAGGAUGUCUUGAUUAAAGUUGAUAACUUUAUUUUCCCUGCUGAUUUUGUUCUUGAUUUUGAUGCUGAAGUUUAGGCGGCAUUAAUUUUGGGUAGACCUUUUAUGAAUACCUCUCGUGCUUUUGUAGAUGUUCAUGAUGGUAAGUUAACUUUGAGGGUUGGGGAAGAUAGUAUAGACUUUAAUGUGCCGAAAUCUAUUAAACAACAUGACACUAGUGAUCCUUGCGUGCAUAUUGGUGUGAUUGAUGAUUGUGUUCAUGAUGUUUUUGUGGCUAAUGCUGAUGUUAGUAAUUCUCUAGAGAAUGGUAUUAAGAGUGAUGUUAAGGCUGAAAUUAUGAUGAAAUCUAUACCCUUGCAUCCUAGUAUUGAUUAAGGAUAAUCGAAUUAAAAUUACUUUUCUAAAAUCAAUUUGGACUUAAUUGUCAAGAAAAAUAAAGUUUGAGGGUUAAAAGGAUGAAUUUCAUAAAAUCAGGGACUAAAUUGCAAACUUUUCACAAAUUUCCCAUAUUUAGAGCCAAUCAGCUCUACACAAUGUCGGUUGGCUGAUUUUCACAAUUCAACGUUGUUUACACGUGUUUUGACUUAAAACGGUAAAAUUAGUAAAGAUAAGUUUCUAGAAGGUAUUUAUGAUAAUUUUUGGGAUUUUAAAUAUAUGUUUAGUGAUAAUUAUUUAAAUCAUAAGGAUUUUAACUUGAUUCAUUGGAUAUUACUCUUAAAAGUUUUAAUUAUCUGAUAAAAGGCGAAGAUAAUUGUUUCUUUCUAAUUUAAAUAAUUAAGUAGUUAUCUAGGGUUUCCUAACCCUACUGCUAAAAAUAGAACAUGAUGCCCUAGGUCUAGAGGGAGCUACAUCGAUUAUAGACUAUUGUUAUUAAAAAUACUAAAAACCUAUGUUUGAUUAAGCAGAGAGCAUUUUUGGUAACUGGAGAGCAAAGUCACUAAGAAAGAACCCUAGAUUAGGAAACCUUUUUGUAAAACGACAUAAGAUUUUCCAAACUUAAGCAGCACUAGAUUCUCAAUCGAUCCUAGAUUCAACAGCUUCAUCAUCUCUAGAGACUUACAGAUCAGCAAACUACGGUGACAACUUGAGGGUUUCCCACAUCCAGCAUCAUCAACAUCUCUUUUCUUUUCAACUGGUUCUUGUGUUAUUAUGAUUUUAGAAACAUGAUUAGGAUUUUUUUACUGUUUUCUAUGUUCUACAUUAUUAAAUUAGGAUUUCUUAUGAAUUAAUAUGUUGUUGAUUUUAUUGGAUUUUGAAUAUGAUAAUAAGAACAUGUAGGAUUUUGAAUAUGAUAAUAUAUUUGCUUUUGGAUCUUAAAUCUGAUUAGUCAAAUGAUUAGGAUUACAUGUUGGAUUUGUGUCUUCUUUACAGUUUUGCAAUUGAAUUGGAUUUCUAAGGUCGCAUUAUUGAAUCUAGGAUCUACCAUGAAGUUUUAUUUGCCAUCUAUCAGUCUUUCUAUUUUCUAGGGUUUGUAUUAUUUUUAUGAUAUUUGGCUUAAUUUGAUUUGUUUUGUUAUGAUUAUUAUUUCAUUUUUUGAGUUUUAAUCAUGUUUUUAUCUCUUGUGCACGUUAAAUCAGGUUUAGGGCGAGAGGAUCGAAGAAAAGAUUUAAAAUUGGUUGUUACCANNNNNNNNNNNNNNNNNNNNNNNNNNNNNNNNNNNNNNNNNNNNNNNNNNNNNNNNNNNNNNNNNNNNNNNNNNNNNNNNNNNNNNNNNNNNNNNNNNNNNNNNNNNNNNNNNNNNNNNNNNNNNNNNNNNNNNNNNNNNNNNNNNNNNNNNNNNNNNNNNNNNNNNNNNNNNNNNNNNNNNNNNNNNNNNNNNNNNNNNNNNNNNNNNNNNNNNNNNNNNNNNNNNNNNNNNNNNNNNNNNNNNNNNNNNNNNNNNNNNNNNNNNNNNNNNNNNNNNNNNNNNNNNNNNNNNNNNNNNNNNNNNNNNNNNNCAAAGCAUAACUUGUAAUUAGGCUAGACUAAGUGGACUUUGUACAUAAUUAAUUAGUAAGUUAGGUUAAUAACUUGGAGUAUGGGCUAGGCUUUAAUAAAAUGGGCUAGAUUCAGGAGGACCUCAGAUACUGUAGUGCUUGAUGUGUAAUAUAUAACUGUUGCAUUUAUAGGGAAUAGCUCGUUAAACAAUAAAAUUAAAAACAAAUAUACAUAAAUAAGGAAGUUGGCUUCCGGAUCCAUCUAUGGAUUUUUGAUGUAAGCUUCCUUAUGGAAUCAAGAAAUGUCACUCAAUAGUGAAAGUGUCCCAGUUACCCGGGUGGUGACUCCCAUCUUCGCGCUAGUCUCUAUGACUAGUUAGCGUGUUUCCAAUUAGGUUAAAAAGUCCUGUAGUGUCGUAGUCGCUAAAAAUACUUGGGUGCGCGCCCGAAACUGCCGCCCAUACCUUUUCUCUUUCCUUUACUCUUCAUGAUUUUCUUGCCUCUCUUGGAGAGCAUUGCUAGCUCUUUAUCCUUAUCUUCACUAGACUUGGAUCCACCAGAUAUUUCACUUUUUUAUUAUCUAGUGGAGCUCUUGAGAGCCAAUGGCCUCAUUCUUAACUCCCUUUUUUUGCUCUUCUUGCUUUCUAAGAGCCAUUUGAUGUGCGUAAAAUACAUACAUCUAAAUGGGAUUUUUAAGAUUGAUUUUAUAGAAAUUUGGAUGUGAAUUGGUCCCAACACUCACCCUAUGCGUCUGUUUAUGUGCAUUAGGUCCAAAAGAAGUCAAAGGAUGAUAAAGGGAAGAAUUUGAGCAUAAUUGGACGCCGAAGCUGCCGAAACAAGCUAAGUACGAGCAUGAGGAAGCUGAACAGGGCCGUGUUGGUUUCAACACCGGCCGUGUUCCCAACACAUUCACCAACACGGCCGUGUUGGACAUCAAAGAAGAAGUAGAUCAUAUGGAGCACGGCCACAGAGAGUAACACGGCCAGGAACACCAAACCGUGUUUCCAACACGUCCAGGAACACCAAACCAUGUUCCCAACACGGCCAGGAACACGGACGUGUUGGCGGCGACAGAGGGAAUUAGUUAAAAGAAAGAAGAGAGGAAGAAAGAAAGGAGAGCGGGGGAGAACGUCCCAAACCCUAAUAUUUCUCUCUCUAAGGGUUUUCUGAGCUGAAACCAAGGGAAAAGGAGACUUGGGUCAAGGUUUCAAUCCGAUUCCCUUUAAAGAUUAAAGAUUGGGCGAGGUUCGUUGAUUGGUUUUCAAUUCGAGCAAGAGGAACAAGAAUCGAUUCAAUUCGAGCAAGAGGAAUUGUGGCUGUUUACUCUCAUCCAAGGGUGUAAUCGGGUUUCUCUACCUUUACUCUUUGUUGUAAUUGAAUUCUUAUGUAUUUUGAUAAUUAACAUGAUUAGCUAGAUUGAUUAAAUCCAUUGGGAUUUCUUUACUAUGUUGGCUUAGUAUUAUAUUGUUGGAUUGUUUGGAUUAGUUUUGUAUUCUUCUUGCUUUCAGUAUUAAUAAGAUAAUGCAUUGUUCAUGAGAAGUUGUGAAUUGUGUGUUUAGAUUGCUUUGUGUGAUUGAGAAGUCCAUUUGACAAUUGGAAUUUUGAAUAGCAAGAACUGGUUAAUAAUCGCUUAGAGAUAAGGAUAAUUAACUAGCCGGAUUAAGAAUUAACAAAGCUUAAUAGAGGCGGAUUAAAGCUUAAUGCUAAUUUAAGAAUCAAUCGUUAGGAAGAGAUUCCAACUUUAGGUUAUUAGAUUUAGGAAUUCGGUUAAGAAUUCAUCCACGGGUAGUAUAAUUAGACUCAACAAUCCUUUAUCUUUUGUUUGAUUGCCAACUAGUUUAGGUUCCCUUUGGGUUUGCUCUCUUGCCUUAGUUAUUUUAGUUAUCAAUUACUCUUGCAUCUCCCUUAGAACUUAGAUUGUAGCUAUUAGUUAGUUUAGAAAGUAUUCAUCACUCAUUUUAGGUUAAUAUAACAAAGAACAAAGGAGUAACUCUGGGCUUUCAUUUUCCCUAGGAAUACGACCUUGAUACUCGCUAUUAGUGCUAGACUGCAUCGAUAGGUAUAUUGCCUUAGAUUGUAGCUAACACGAUUUAGCUCAUAUCACCAUUUCAUAAGUGAGAAGCUUGCCUAUGAGCUCAUCUAUUGACACCUUCCCCAAAUCCUUAUGGCUUCCUCUAUACUUGCCACUCUUAAACCAUCAUAGUCCUCGAAUGGUAGAGCCUUGAGAAUUUUAUUAUUGAUGUCAACAAGCUCAUAAUGCUUACCCAAUUCUCGAAGGUUAUUGAUGAUGGUGAGAAGUCGGCUGGUCAUAUCAGUGAUGCUCUCAUUUGGCUUUAUGUUGAAGAGUUCAUAUUUCAUCAUAAGAAGUUAGAUUAUUUUGGAUUUUACUUGCUUUGUACCCUCAUGGUAGUUUUUCAAGAUCUUCUAAAUCUUAUAGGUGGUUAGGAGAUGUUGAAUUCUCUCACAUUCCUCUCUCGAAAGUGAACUAAGGAGGAUGAUCAUUGCUAUUUUAUUCUUGCCAUUAGCUUUCCUAUGAGCAUCCACCUAUUCAUCUCUAUCAAGUGGGAUAUCUACACUAUCCUCUUGCUUUGUUGGAGGUCUCCAUUCCUUUAUUAGGCAAUCCCACACAUUAACUAUGUCACUAUCCAAGUAAAUUUCUAUCUUGUACUUCUAAUGGGUGUAAUCGGACCCAUCAAAUUAAGGUCUAAGAUGGUGGAUACCUUUGUUGGCCAUGACGAAUCUUUAACUCACACACUUAAGUUGAAUUAUGGGUGCUAAGCUCUAAUACCACUUGUUUUCCCUUAUGAACUAAGAAGGGGGAUUGAAUUGGUGAAUUGAAGGGAGGAUGGAAAAUUAAAAAUUUGCUAGAAGAAGGUUUAUAGAUAGAGAAAAAAGAACACAAUAAUAUAGUGGUUCGGGUGUUAACCAACCCUACCUCCACUCCCCAAUCUCCAAAUGGGUAUUCAAUAUACUUCAAUCUUUAAUUGAUAAAUCAUUAAAGACCAUUUGCGAUGGUUUUAUUCCCUAAAAAUCUCAGAGUCGUUACUCAUGAAUUCCAAAAACUUCACCAAACAAUUGCUUUUGGACAAUGCAUUAAAUACACUAUCAGAAUGCAAAUUGCAGUCGCGAUUCUUGAAAAUAUUCUAACAGCUAUUUGACGUGGUACUCAGGCAUCGACGACUUUAAAAUACAAAUAUUGGCGGGAUGUAACGGUCAUAACGCUUCAUGAAAUUCAUAAUUGUGCCUCCUUGGGUGCGGUCGCGAUUUCUAACAUUUGCAACCCUUUUGCUUCUGCCUUGAAAGGUUCGAUUUUCGUGGUCGGUCUUGUGGUGCGGCUGUGAUUUUCAGUAUUUAGACUUCAAAUCCUUCUACCCUCAAACUUGUCAUUUUCGCGGUUGUGCUAUAGGAGGGUGCAGUCGCGAUUUUGAGGCAAUCUUGAAUUCUUCAUUUUGAUUAAUGCUGCAACAAUAAAACUUGUAGAAAUAUUAUAUCAAGACCUAAAUUUAUGUGUCAAGAUCAAAAUUAGGAACUUAGUCUUAAGACAAAGUAUCUAGGCUAACAGAAAAGAAAUUUGUUUAUUAAGAAAAUAAAAAAAAAAUAUCAUACCAAGAGAGAGAAAAAUGUUGAAAUAUUAAAGUUCUUUCUCAAUUUGAGAUGACAAAAUAAUAAAGAAAUGAGCAUUUGAGGGUACUUAAUCUUAUUCAAUAUUAAUAAAAAAUAUAAAUAAGAGUUAAUGGAAUUUUUAUACUUAUAAUUAUUUUAUAUUUUAUUAGAAUAAAAUGAAUAUAAAAUUAGAGAAAAAGAAUAUCAACAUGUUUGAAAUCAGUUGAUCUAUUUGUAUUAAUUAUUUCACUAUAUUUAAGUUGAACUUUUUUUAUGAUGAUAUUUAAGUUGAACUUAAACAAUUAGAAAAUAAGAGAAACUAGAAUCUCAUGCUCUAUUUUCACUAAUUGUUUCAAUAUUUUUAAGUUGAAGUUGGACGAUUUUAAAAUUAAAGAAAAUAAACUCUCACAUAUAUUGAAAUUUGUUGCCUUACUCUUAUCAAUUAUUUCACUAUUUUUAUGUUGAAGUUGAAACUUUAAAAGACCAAUAGAAAGUUAAUUUUCAUUUUUUGAAAUUUAUUUUUUGUUUUCACCAAUUAUUUUACCAAUUUUAAGUUAAAGUUGAAUAAAUAGUAAGGGUCUAUUUGGCAUUGUUGUUAGAAUCUGAUGUUGCUUAUGAGAAAAGCACUAAUAAGAAAAAGGCCUAAUUAUGUAAUACAUCCUGAACUUUUAACUUUUUAACAACUCUAGCUAAUUGCAUCACCUUUUUCUUAAAAAAAACCAAGCUUAAUUUCUUUUCAAAAUGACCCUCAGGCGGAGGAAGAAGGGCCAGGACGGUGGUUUGUCUUUGGUAUGUAUUGAAAAAAACUCAAAUAUUGACUCAUUUACCAAAUUAAAACUCACCGUUUAACCUAAUAAAAUGAUGACUCAAUACAAAAAAUACUUUAUCUUCUUUCUUUCUUCCUUCUUGCAUUUCUAGGGUUAGUGUUUGAAAUAAAAUUCCAAAUUUCAAAUCAUGCCUGACAACAACGGCAACAACUUCAGCAACAACCACGUCUCCUCCGACUGAUUUUCAAUUGUUAUUUCCAUUCUUUUCUUCAUCUGAUUCUUGAUUUUGUCAAACAAAUUUCAAUUGUUCCAAACAAAUGUUAACUAGUAUACUUGUGAGACAAAUUUCUAAAGAUUGAAUAAUGCUUGGCAUGGUCUUGAUUCUCCAGCUAAAAAUCAUGUUGAAACAAUAUGUUGGCUUUCUUUCUCGUUAUUUUAUAAUUAAAUUAAGGUUUAGCAUUGUAUAAAUUCUUGUAUCUUUUUUAUCAUGUGUUAGUUUCUUAGCUCGGGCCUUUCAACACCACCUCCACCGCCUUUUCUAUGCUAUCUCUGAUUGAAGGUGGCCACCAAUACUCACAAAUCAAGUUGUUCUUAGUCCUCGAUAUGGUCAUACUUUAACUUUUGUUGCCGCCACCAAUCUCACAGUUCUAUACUUAUUCUCUUUGAUAGUGCCACUGCCAUUGAAGGUGGCGAUUCUUCCUUUACUCUUGGUUAUGCUUCUUUAGAUUUUAUUUCUCUGUUUCAUAUAUUGUUAGAUAGCUCAUGUAAGAUUUCUCUUGGUGGUUGCUCUUGGCGAUUCUUCCUACGCUCUUGGUUGUGGUCUGAUUAGAAUGCUUCCUUAGAAAAUGCUUUUGUAGGCCAAGAUUACUAACCCUAGAAAAUGAAAGGAAGAAAAAAAAGAAGAAGAUAAAACUAUUUUAGCAUUUAGUCAUUGUUUUAUUAAGUUAAACGGUGUGUUUUGAUGCUGGCAAAUAAGUCAACAUUUGAGAUUUUUUUAAAUACACGUCGGAGUCAAACCAUCAUACUAGUUAAUCCUUUGCCGCCCGAAAGUCCUUUUGAAAGAAAAAUUAAGUUUAGGUAUUUUUAGAAAAAAGUGAUAUGAUUAACUAUAAUUAAAAAGUUCGAAAUUUAUUAGGUAAUUAGGCCUAAGAAAAACUGCUUACUUUUUUUAUAAUUAAAUGAAAAAUGUAGUUGAAUAAAAAAGUAAUUUGUUACUUGUUCGGUUAAAAUUAUUAUUUAAAGUGUUGUUAUAAUUAGAAUGGCCAAAAAAAUAGCUGUAAAAGUAAAAUAUAUGGUCAUUAUAAUAAUUAUUUAUUGUCAUAAUUAUUAAAAAUUUUAUAAUUACUAUCAACUAUGUAAAAUUCAUUAAUUUAGUUUUAUAAUGCCAAUAUGUUAAAAUACUAAUAAGAAGAUAAAUUCAUGAAAUGUAGUAUUUAAUAAUCUAAUUCAAAAAAAGUAUGAGGUAUAUAAAGUGUUGGAAUCAGUUGAAAAUUACCACAAGACAUAUAAUAAAAAAAUAAAAAUAAUAAAAAUUGAGAGAUUGAUUAUUAAUAACAUAUAUUGAAGAAAAUGACAUAAUAAGAAUAUAAGAUAUAAAAAAUUUCUUAUUUUAUUAAUUUCAGAUAUUUCAAUAAUAAAAUAAAAAUGAAUACAAGGUCGUUUUUGAGAUUAAAUUAAGUUAAAAAUAUCUUCUAAAUGAUUGUGAUAAUAAAAAAAAGUAAAAUAGUUUAACUAAUGCAGAAUUAUAAUUAAGCUAAAAUUAAGACAUUUCUGGCUUUUUAAGAUUGAAAAAUUAUUUUCAAUGGGUUAAACAGCAGUAGUUUUGGGAAGCACCAAAAUUGGUGCUUUUCCAAAACCUUAGUUUUGAAAGCAUGAAACACAGUUUUCAUUCUUAACCAAACAACCUAAAAACGUGAUUUUUAUUUUAAUCUGUUUUUUUCUUCUUGAAAUGCAAUGCCAAAUGAAUAUUAAAUUAUAUAGAAGUGCUAACUUUCCACGUGUACUAACUGUUAGAGAAAUUUCAUAAAUCUCGACCGCGAAGUAAGAAACAGGAUUGCAAUUCUCAUUUUGUUAGUGUAUUUAAUGCACUAUACAAAAAUAAUUUUAGGCUGUUGGCAUUGGAUUUAAUGCACAAUGGCUCUUUUAGAUUUUAAGACUAUAAAUACCUCAUGAAAAGGUUUUUAAUGAUUGAUCAACAGCCUCUUAAAGUGCAAAACCUUUAACAUUUAAUUUUUCAUCUUCUUAUAAUCAAAUUCUUUGUAGAUUGAGUUAUUUUUGUUGUUAUAGAGCAUUGCUCUUGAGUGUUGCUAGUGAGAAUAUAAAACACUUGGAUUGAAUUUGAGAGUUAAUUUAAAAUUCAAAACUCUUGUAAGAUUGUGUGUUAGCCUAAAAUACAAAUUAUAAGAUUCAAUGUGAAUACUAAGUUGGAAGUGAACUUAAAAAAACUCCAUUACAAGUUAGUUGUGUUAGUAAAAUACACCAUUGGCGAAUGGAAGAGCGGACGUUAGGUUUAUUAACAUGCUCCUCUGCAAUUUCUGGCCCUAUAUUCUAGGUGUGCUAUAGGAGAAUAUUUCUGCAAUAAUAGAAUGCAUGCGUGAAUAUUCUAUGAUGAUCUUAGUAAACAGGUGAUGGCAUAUCGACAAAUGUUCUUGCAUACUUUCUUUUUUUCUCACUCUCUCUCCUUUACAUUAAAAAUAUUUUUAUUGAUAAUGAACCUUCUACGCACCAAUUCAACCUUCCUUCUUAGUACAUUAAGGAACAACAAAUUUAAAAGUAUAAAUGGAAUAAUAAAAAUUGAUAUUUAAUGAGUCAUUAUAUUAUUAUUCAUAUAGAAAUUUAGAGUCAUUCUAAUUAGGGCUGAGCACGGAUCGGUCCAAUUCGGUUAUUUAUAAAUCACCAGUACCAUACCAAACCUCGGUUAUUUUAAAAUUGAAGGUACCAGUAUCGUACCAAACAUAAAAGGAUCAAAUACCGUAUUGUACCAAUUUUACGGUUCAAUACAGUUCGGUUCGGUGCUAUUUUCGGUUCUAAGAAAUUUAAAAAACACAACUUUAAUCUCAUCUUUAAUCAAAUACAUUUAGAGAAAAUAUGAUUACCAACCUAAAAAAAGUAGCAUGAAAAUCUGAAUUAAAAUUGCAAUCACAUUCUUGAACAACCUGUUUCGCAAUUCAGUCACUUGCAAAUAUAAUAAUUCAUUCAAUAUUCAAAUACAAACCAUUAAAAUAUAUAUUACUAGUAGCAUAAAAAUAUUUUACAGAUGGCAAUCAUUAAAAUAAAUAAAUUUACAAACUUUAUGUAGCACUAAAAUACAUGUCCAAAAAUUAGCAAAGGAAUAUUAUUACCUCCCCUCAAAAUUAGCACUCCACAUUUACUCUUGGCAUAAGGGACUCACCAAUCUCAGGAUCUUGAAUAAUUUCUACAAUAAAAGUAAAAAAUUACGUCAAUAAGACUUAACAGCAUCAAUAAUAAAUAAACAUAUGUAAGAAGUAAAGAAGUGUUACCUGACUCUAUGCUUUCAAUAUCCUCUAUUGAUUCUUCUAGUUGGAUAGGUUUAUUUGAACUUCUAAGCAUUCUUGACAACAAAUGAGGACCUCCGUUGUUGUAGGAAGUAAAGAACUUCUAUAUUGAUCUAGAGUUCGUCCUUUAGUACUAAAUGCAUAUUCAGAGGCUACUGUUGAAGCUUGGAUAGCCAAUACAUCGCGUGCAACCUUGGACAAGAUAGGAUACCUUAUUGAAUUCACCUUCCACCAUACUAAGAUAUCGAAAUCAAUGGUGAAUUUUUCUACAAAUUCUUCGAAGUACCUAUCUAACUCAGAUAUCUUAGACAAAUUCUGUUGCGCUUCUUCCUCUAAAAAGAACUCAUCAAUCUCUUUUUCUGUUUCUGUAUCACUUGGCCCACUAUCAUAUGUAGAUUUCUCUGAGCUCCCUACAACCUCACCCAUAUAUAAAUUAUCCUCAAUUAUCUUGUAUUCAUCCACCAUCAACUCUAAAGCUGUUUUCACCCUUUUUUUCAAAAAUUUUGUCUCAUCUUCACCAUUAUAAAUUGUGUACUUAGCUUUCAAGUACUUUAAUUUGCACCUAGGAUCCAAAACAGCAGCCAUAAAUAACAUAACAUUCAUUUUAUCUAAAGAACCCUAAUAUUUAUCAAAUUUAGCUCGCAUUUCAAUGGUCAUUUCAAUUAGCUCACUAUCCUUGCUAAUUUUAGAAGCAUCUAGUUCUUUUAAAAUCUUUAUCACCUCCGGAAAAUAAAGAUUUGAAGUAGAGUACAAUGUGCCAAAUAGUUUGCAAGUAGCAUCAUAAAAUUUCUUAAGAAACUUUAUUAGCACCUUAGCUUAGUCCAAUCUAUUUCACUAGGUAAAUCAUCACCAAAAUCAGCCAGGAAUUUGGAGUCUAUGUCCUCCAACAUAUCAAAAGCCUUUUGAUAGCCCAAAGCAUAAUCUAACAUCAAAUAAGUUGAAUUCCACCUAGUUAGGCAAUCUAACUGUAAAGAGGACUUAUUCUUUAAAUUUGCUAACUCGCAAGCCUUCUUAAAUAGAUCCAUUCUUUGAGCACUACUUCUAAUGUACUUCACAACAUCUCUAAUUUUUUUAAUGGAAACUUGAGAUAUUUGAAGUCCAUCUUUCACAAUUAAUUGAAGAAUAUGAGCAAAACACCUCAUAUGAAAUGCAUAUCCACCUAAAAUAAAUGUAUUUUUUCUUUAAUAAUCUUUUCUUCAACUAUUGAAUAGCAGUGUCAUUACUAGAUGCAUUAUCAACAGUUAUGCACAUGACCUUUUUUAUACCCCACUCCUCCAUACAAGCAUCUACUACAUUACCUAUAUUUAUACCUCUAUGACUCUUAACAAUACAAAAAUUCAAUAUUCUCUUAUGCAUAUUCCAAUCAGCAUCUAUAAAAUGAGCAGUCAAACCCAUAUAGCUUAAAUUUUGCACACUUGUCCAAGUAUCAGUGGUCAAAGAGAUUCUUUGACAUUGUGUUGCAAUAAUGGCUUUCAAUUUUUUUUCUCUUUAGUAAACAAAGUGAAACAAUCCCUCACAAUGGUGAAUCUAGAAGGAAUAAUAAAAUCAGGUAUAGCAACUUGAAUAAAUUCUCUAAAUCCUUCCCUUUCCACAAAUCUAAAAGGUAAUUCAUCUUUAAUUAUCAUUCGAACUAAUGCUUUCCUACAAGCUUUUUGAUCAAAACACCAAGUUCCAAUCUUAAGACUUUUUGUAUUUAUGGACUUUAAGAAUGUUAGGGUCUUUUGCGAUUUGUCCUUCUUAAUUUUUGCAUCAAUCAACUGUUGUUUGUCAAGAAAUUUUUUACAGGUUACUCGCAAGUGUUUCCUAAGACCAGAAGUUCCCAUGGCACUACCACCUUGGUAAUUCUUACCACACCAUAAACACCUAACUCUACUCGUCUCUUUACCAUUAGAGUUCUUAAUUUUUUCAAAAUGCAACCAAACAAAUGACCUAGUUUUACUAGGAGGGGAAGUUGGUGGAUUAGCGAUGUUAGUACCUUCAUUAGUGUCAACAAUCUGUAUUUUUUUUUCUGUUGGUGAUGGACACGGAUUUUAUUUGAACAGGCAGUGAUACUGUUAUUGCUAGCAGAUGAAGCAUUAUUUUCCGAUGGAGGUGGAAUUGAAGCUAAGCACAAGCCAUCAAUGUUUGAAGAAGUAAAAUCAAUUGUUUUCCUCUUCUUAGUGCUGGAUAGUUGGCUAACUCCAUGUUUUACCAUCUUUAUAAACUGUAAAAUAUAAGAUAAAAUUAAGUUAAAGCUUAAUUGCUAUAGAUAAGUUUGGCUCUCUAUAAAUAGACAUAUCUAUCGUAUUAUAUAAUUUAUUAUACUUUUGUUACUUAUUACGUAUAGCUACAUUUAACAUUUUGUGCACUUAUAAAUUUAAUAUAACCAAAUAUGCAUCUUUUAAUUUGUGCACUUUCAUUUUCAACUAUUAUUAUUACUAAUUCAAUGGUAGUCGUCCUCAAACAUGACUAAUCACUAUGACCUGUAACUAAUUGACUAGAAUAAUUUACGAGGGAAUGUCCUAGUUAAGUUAUUUUGGACCUUAUUGCACUUUCCUGCUCACUCAAUGUCUAGCAUUUUAAAGGAACAAAUCUUUAUUUGUUGACAAAACAUGUUAAUAAUCCCUUAAGCAUGCAAUAAAACAAAAUCAAGAUUCUGUACAUAGUUUUAAAACAAAAGCAAUUAAUGCCUCUAAUCCAAUUGAUAAAUUAAGUCUGGCUGAUCCUAGUCCUUUUAAUAUCCAUCUUAUAAUGAUUUAAAUACAAUUUAAAUUCUCAGUUCAAAUGUAUUAACACAAAAUAAAAGCUUUUCUCAUUAUUUUAUAUAAUGCAUGAGGGAGUUGGAUGGUAAAUUAUAUUUUGCUAACUGUGAAUCAAAUGCUUGUAAUGAGUACAACCCCCCGACAAGCAUAUCAAUAGAGCUGGCAAUAUCUCAAUUCUUUAUGGGCAUAGGCAAGCAUAAGUUAUAAUUUAAAAAUGGCAGCACUAAAAGAGUAUUCAUCAUUAACAUUUUUAAUUGAUUAUAUUCUGGUAAAGAGCAAUGAUUACUUGACAACUUAAAAACAACAGAAGAAAAAGUCAGGUUGCAUAAUUGAAGAGUUUUUCACCAUACAAACAAGCAUAAUAAGAUCAAUAAACAAUGCACUUUACAUACUAGAGUUCCUGUACUGCAACAAAAACAUGUCCACAUUUGACACAAUACCUGAGAAGACAGAAGCAACGGCUGAGAAGAUUGGAUCGGCGGCUGACAACGACGACAGCAAGGGUGGAGGCGACUGCAGCUACGGCAAUGGGAACGGCAGCAACAGCAAAGCAAACAAAAGGCAACGACAGCAGGAAAAGGGAACAGCAGCAGCAACGAUGGGUGACGCAACGAUAGGCGACGGGAACAGCAGCAACGAUGGGCAACGGGAACAGCAUCAACGAUGGGCGACGGGAAGCGAUGGGAACAGUAGCAACGAUGGGCGACGGGAACGGUAGCAAUGAUGGGCGAUGGGAACGGCAACAACGAUAAAAUCCCUAACUUUGUUAAAAGACAUUUUGACAAAUUUUUCUCAAGUUUUGUUUGAUUCUUUUCAAAAAAAAUUAAAUUUAUAAAUAUAAUUUAAUAUAUUCUUUUAUAUUUUAAUAUUAAUUUAUAAUAUUUUAAAAGUUAAUAAAUUAAUUAUUUCUAGAAAUUUAAUUUUUUAAGUUUUAUUAGUAUAAUAAUAUAAAAAUUAUUUUUAAAAUAUUUAUUUAUUAAUUUUAAUAUUUAUAUAAAUUACCACUUUCAGUAUAAUUAAUAUUAUUAUUUUUAAAAUAAAAAUAUUAUAUAAUUAAAAAUUAAUUUAUUAAUUAAUAUAGUGUAAAUAAUAUUAUACUUAUAUAAUAAUAUAUUUUUAUAAUUUUUACUAACUUAUAUAACUUUUUAUUAAAUUAAGUAAUUUUUUAAUUAACUUGUCAAAAAUUUCUAGAUAGUAGAUAAAUUUUAAAUCUAGUAUUAUAGUAUGUAUACUAGAUUACUAGUAUCAGUAUACUAUGUGACAUAUUAAUAUAUAUAACUUAUAUUUUUUAUAGAGUAUAAAGUAUAUUAUAAUAUUAUAGUUAUUUUUAAUAUGUAUUAUAUUUUGUAUUUCGAUAACAAUUGCUUGAAUUAUAUAAAUGAUAAAUAUAAGAUAAUUUUUUAUAGAGUAUAUGUAUUAUUUUUUUAAUACGUAUUAUUUAUAUAAUAUAAAUAAUUAGUUAUAAAUAUAUGUAAAAAAUUCGGUUCUACGGUUUGGUUCGGAUCAGUACAAGACGGAUCGGUUCUGGUACGGUUACGGUAUGGUUUUUACUAAAAACCAGUACCAUACCGUAAUAGUAAAAAAUUCGGAUCGGUUCAAUUCGAUUAUAAAAACUUUCAGUUCUUUUCGGUUCUGGUACUUUUCGGUACGGUUAUUCGGUUUGGGCGGGAAUCACUGAGAUCCAUGCUCAGCCCUAAUUCUAAUGUACCAUAGGUGUACGGUACCAUUUAAACCUAUAAAAAUUGAUUUUUAUUUUUAUUUUAAGAAUUUAUUGACAGAAUCAAAUAUUACAUUAAUUAGUUAUAUAUAGUACUUAUUUAUUGAUCAAUAAAAUAUGUUAUUUUUAUUUUUUAAAUUUUUUAUAUAUUUUUAGAAUUUAAUCAGUGUCACUUUACAAUUAUGAGAUUCAUUUAUAUAAUUUUGACUUGUAUAAAUAAUUAAAAAUUAUAUAUGAAUUCAUUAACAAUCUAAAUUAAAAAAAGAUGUAUAUAAAUUAUUUAAAAUAAUAUCAAUUAAUUGUCUAUAAUUAAAAAUACACUUAUAAUGGUAGAAUACCAUAAUGGUACUCUAGUAAAAUCUAGUAAUUUAUUAUACCUAUUGAUGUGUCUUUUUUAAUACUCGCAAGUGCACGAACCGUUCCUAUAGUAAUAGUAAGUUCACUACGAGGUCGAUCUCUUAAAGAACUAUGAGGCCACUUAUUUUAAAGACUAAUUAUCAACACAAAACAAUAAGAGUAAAUCUCAACACUCUAAAUCAGUAUGUUGAGAGGGUAAUAUUCAUAAAGUAAAGUAACUAAAUAAUAAAUAAAUAUGCAAUACAAUUGCAAAUGCUUAUGAUCUAAAACUAUAUGCUAAAAACAUUAGUUAGUCUAGCCAUUUACUUAGUAAUCUCCUUGUUUUACUUUAAGCCUAGAUCUAAUGAAUGAGAUGGUGAUGUGCCUUUUUCCCUAAGUCACUCAAGCUAAUGAUACAACCUAGGUUUCUUAUACCAACAUAGAUUAAAGUAAAGAUGAUGUUUCUAAUACUUUUAACCUACAGAUUUUCAUAACAAUUACUAUUACUAAAUUAAUAUGAUGGUUAACUAACAAUAAUAACUGAAACUAAUAAAGAUAUGAAGGUAAAGAAAUCAUUCAUUAAAUAAAUAAAUAACAAUGUUCAUACAUAAGUAAAAAGACUAAACUAAACACUUAUAAAAACUAGCCUAACAUAUUUAAUCCAAUGAUCAUGGUAUUAAAUAGAAAGAUAAAAAAUAAUAAAGUAAAAAGCUCUCUCUAGAUCCAGAAUUUUUUCAAGUAGGAAGAAGAUUGGUCCUCAGUCUCCACUUCUUGAAAGCUCCUUAGAUCUUGAAAGAACAAUAAAAACUAAAACUAAAUGUUUAUGGAAAACUAUAGAGAAUUAUGGUGGCAGGUGCAGAGAGCAGGUAGGAAAAAACUCCCUCUUCCUCUCUAAUUAUGUUUUGCCGAGAGGUAUAUAGAGAAGAGUCCUCCUCUAUAUAAAUCUCCAUAGAGAUAAGUAUACUAAUAUAAUCUAUCUAAUAGAUAAAACUUUAAGUAUUUGUAUCUCCACCAAAUACUAUCUCAUAAAUAACUCUUAAUAUAAAUCCUAAUAAUUAUAUAAAAUGACUAAAAUGUUCGUUGGACCUUAUAAUUAGCAGGCCAUACGUUUUAAUUUUGGGUCUUGACACGAAGAUAUCCCAUUAAGCUUCUUUUAGCCCCAUAUUUUCCUCUUUUUGCUAAUAUUUCUGAAAACAGACAAUUAAGCUCAAGUGAGGUAAAAUUAUAUAUUUUCACCAUAUUAUAUAUAGAAAUAUAUCAUUAAAGUUUUAAAAUACCCUUAAAUCUAUACAUAAUUUGGAUUGAUCACCUAUCAUUACAUUUGCUAUAGACUUAAUUGUCAAAACAAUUCUAAACUCUCCACUUGCUAUUAAAUCUAGUAUGUAGUUUUUAAAAUUUUAAAAUUUUUAUUAUCAUAAUUUAACAUUGAUUUCAACUUUUAACAUUUAAUAAAUUAUCUGUCAAAUUUACUAAUAUGGGUGAAUUUCGAUGAUAAUGAAAUAUAGUUGAAUUAAUAUUAGAACCGUUGACUCAUUCCAUUACUAAAAUACUAUUAUUUAAAUAUAUAAUAAAUUUUUUACUUUUUUAUUUUUGAAGUUUUAUUAAGCUUAUGUAUUUAAACGACAAUAUUUUUAGUAAUGAAAAUGUUGAUUCAACCUCUCAUUUUUUAUUGUCGUUGGAGUUCAUACUAUGUCAACGAAUUUAAUUAAUAAUUUCACCAAAUGUUAAAAUUGAAGUCUAAUACUAACAUUAAAAAAUUUUAAAAUAUUUAUUAGCAAGUGUAAAAUAUAAUAUUUUAUAAUUAAAUUUUUAUUUUAUUCAUUAAUUUUUAAUCAGUUUUUAUAUAAUAUAUAGCGAUGCAUAUAUCUUGCAAACUCCACAUAUUAAUAAAUUUGAACUUUCAAUUCUAUCUCUACAUUUAUCUCUAAAUUAAUGAGAAAUUCUUACAUACACACUAUAAACAUACGUCAAAUAAAUAAAUAAAUAUUAUAUAUAUAAAUAUAUAUUAUAUAUAUUAAAAUUAAAUAAUAAAUACAUAUUUAAUUAAAUAAAAUUAAUAAAUAUAUAUUUAUUAUCUAUUAUAUAAAAAUAAGUAAAUACACUUUAAUUAGAUGAUAUCUUUUUAAGUUAAUAAGUUUGAGCUCUCAAUUUUGGCACAAUUCUCUCUCGAAUCCCUUUCAGUUAGGCACAUCUAGCUCAAAACAGGAGAGCAACUCUCCAUAUAAGCUUCUUCUUAGUUGAGUAAAUUAAUGGGCUUUCCAUUUAUUAAUAAAAAUAAUUGCUUAUUUCAUAAAAAUAAUUACUUAUAGAAAAAGGAAAUUAAUGGUCUGGAUUAAUAAUAUAAUGUUUCUCUUUCUUUUAUUAAUUCUUAAACAAUAAUACCAAGUCCAAAAAGAAAAUAAUAAUAGCAUAAACUUUUACAGUCAUUUCCAGCGACGACUUUGCCUGGUGUCUAGUGCGAAAACAAAUGCAAAUGUGUUUCUCCUCUCUCUAGCCACGUCUGCGACCACGUUGCAACAGCAGCAAGCCUCAUCUGCCGCUUCUCCUGCCACGAGUAGCUCUGCAUGCAACGGUAGACUACUAGCAACCUCCAUUCCCACUGCAACAAAUAUCUUUAAAUUGCAGUAGCACCACAAAGAGCCCAACUAAAAGAAACAAAGCGGAAGUUGAGGAAGGAAAAAGGAUCAUGUCUGCUCAACACCCAGAAGUUCCCGGGGAGCCGACGCCAACCAGAGUGAACAUCCUUGAGAGCGCCACAGCUACCGUUCAACCGUUUGGCCCCGUUAAGAAGAUCCAUCAGCACCUCUGCGCGUAAGCUAUAAUCUUUUCGUAUAUGUACUGUUUUAUGAAUUUCUUGAGUUCUUAGUACUAGCUUCUGAAUACUUCCUUCUGUACGUUUUAUCAUCAGAUUCCAUUUUUAUGGAGAUGACAUGACUCGCCAAGUAGAAUCCCACCACUACUGCGCGCACCAGAACGAGGAAAUGCGACAAUGUCUUAUAUACAACAAUUCUGAGCCGGACGCUCAUCUUAUUGGGGUGGAGUACAUCAUAUCUGAGGGCCUCUUUAUGACUCUGCCGGACGAGGAGAAGCCGUUGUGGCAUACCCAUGAGUUUGAGGUGAAGAGUGGGAUUUUAUUCAUGCCUGGAGUUCCUGGUCCGAUACAGAGGCAGGAUCAUGAGAAAGUUUGCAAGACUUACGGCAAAAGCAUCCACUUCUGGCAGGUUGACAAGGGUGACAAUCUCCCUCUUGGUAUACCUCAAGUGAUGAUGUCCUUCACUAGGGACGGCCAGCUUAAUGAGAACCUUGCUAGAGGUAAUCAACAAAAACUGAUAUUGCGUGUACACAUUGCUAAAUCUCGGAACUUGUAUUAAUAAUUGCAAAACAAAUAAGCAGAUGUGGAGAAUCGCUAUGGGAUAUCUUUCGAGAAGGAGAGGGAGAAGAGAGCCUACAUGAAAGGUCCUGAUCUCGGAAUACAUCCACUGGCCAAUGGUGCAGGAAAAGGGGUGAAGACUCUGCUGAGAGAGGUGGAUUGCAAGCCUAUAGAGUCUGUUCCAAGGGUGUUCGUGUGAGACUCAUCUAUAGAAAUAUGGUUCGUCCUGUGUAGAUGCAGGUGCAUAU
rnacentral:lncRNA from 1 species